GCUAUUUAUGAUUUCAACUUUUUUUGGUGAAGUUUAACUCCUAGUUAAAAAUUAAUACACCAUGUAGAGGAUUAUGCGAGUAGAACUACGCGCUAGGGCCUACAAAUUGUCCGCUAAUCCCUCCAAACAUACAUACUAACCAAAAUUUGUUAAAGAACAUAAAACUACAAGUCUUGUAAUGAUAUGAACUUGGUAUGAUUUUCUUUGUACUAGUGGUAAGUUAAGUUGAUGCCCUCCUCUUAGAGUUAACAGGUCUUGUAAUGAGCUCCUGUUUGAUUACUUGAUAUGAGAAUUGCAUGUCUAGUCAACCUUUUAUUUAACACCUUCUUUGUUUCGAUAGAUACAUUCAAGAAUAACAUCUUCUUUCUCAAUGUCUCGAAAAAGCCCAACUUGGACCUUAUUGUACACCAACUAUAUCAACGGAUGGGGUACGAGCUGCCUGCUUUCGAAAACGAAGUCAUGGCAGCUAACUGGUUGUUCUCAAGUAAUCUGGACAAAAUCCUCUACUGUUUGUCCUGGAUGAUGUUUUGGUCAGGAUCAGAGUCCCUGUCUUGAGAAGAUUUGACGACGAAUUCAAGUUUUCAAAUUACAAGAUUUUGGUCACAUCAAGAUUUGCAUUUCCAAGAUUCGGUUCUCCUUAUCAUUUGGCACCAUUGAAUGAUGAAGAUGCAAUGGCUCUUUUUCACUAUUCGGCAUCCUUGAAGGAUAAGAGCUCUUCUUACGAAGAUCUUUCGAGAAAGGUGAUUUCUUAGUCCACAAUACACACACACACAGAGACACACACAUAUAUGUGGAUAUAUAUAUGAUUAUUUAUGCCUCAGAAGAGGGUAAAGAAAUAACGUUUGAGCAUCCACACACGUUAAUGAACUGUGAAGGAUGAAGUAAGAAGAGUGAAAGAGUAGACAGUUUACAAUUUUAUCAGCUUUAUGAAACCAUUUAGAUGAUUUAAUUCAACAACUUAAUCAAUAAUAGUUUAAUUUCAUUUUGGAUAAUCAAAUUGCAGAUUAUCAAGCGCUGUAAGGGAUGCCCACUUGCCAUUGAAAUUGGUCGGGAGAUCAAAGCCAGCCUAUAGAAAUUGGCAGAAAAGAGUGGGAAUUGGUGCAAAGGUUCAUCUUCUUUGAUUCUUGAUUUUUGAAGCACUUGGCUCCAAAAGCUUAAUGCCCGAAAAGGCUAUCAUUUCUUUCGAUCUAGGUUCUUUUAGGAGGAAAAAAAUUGAUAUGUGGGCGGAGUUGUAUGGUCUAGAUGAAGAAAUUCUGACCAUUGCCAACCUUCAUGAGCUCACCACCCGAAGUUUAGCUAAUCUUGUUGUCACAAGGUAUGCAGGCUGCUCAUAAUUUUUUCUAUUUCAUUAUGUAUGCCGAACAAAUCAUUAAAGAAAUUAGUAUUGAUCAUCCAGACAUGAGGGGGAGACAGAUGGCUAUUACGCUGAACACUUUGUCACCCAGCACGACAUGCUUAGAGAGUUGGCGAUCCAUCAGGCGAGUCAAGACCCAAUAGAACAUAGGAAACGACUAUUUUUAAACAUCUGUGGGAACAGACUUCCUAAGUGGUUGACAGAACAAAAGUAUAAAGCGAUCAAGGCUCGACUAUUAUCUAUCUCAACAGGUUCAAUCAAUCUCUCUUUAGUAAAUACUUAUACAUGUGCGCUCGGGACACACGUGUGCACACACACACAUGCUCAUUCUUACUAAGACUUCAAUCGGACCUCGACACAUUUAAGUUCAACCCACGCUAACAUCUUAAAGCUUAUUGUUUGCAGAUGGAGCCUUCUCAGCAAAAUGGCCAAACAUGCAAGUACCCGAAGCAGAGGUUCUAGUUCUGAAUUUUGAAACGAAGAACUAUGCCUUACCUGAGUUUGUGGAGAAAAUGGAUAAACUAAAGGUUCUAAUACUAAAUAAUUACGGUUUGUUACCUGCUGAACUAGAUAAUUUUGAACUACUUGGUUCGCUAUCAAAUCUUAAGAGAAUUAGAUUAGAACGUAUUUCAAUUCCUCCCAUAAGCAAGGUCCUUAAACAGUUGAAAAGCUUGCAGAAGAUCUCUCUUUUCAUGUGUGAUAUCGGCCAAGGUUUCGUCAAAAUUUUAGAUGCACUGCCAAAUCUAGUGGAAUUGAACAUUGAUUAUUGCUAUGAUCUGGUGCAACUUCCUGCCAACCUUUGUGACCUUGUUCACCUUAAGAAGCUUAGCAUCACCAACUGUCAUAAGCUAUCUGCCUUGCCUGCAGACAUCGGAAAGCUAGUCAAUCUUGAAGUGUUGAGGCUUAGGUCAUGUGCAGAUUUGUUAGAGUUGCCAGGCUCGAUUAGGAACCUUAAAGUUUUGAAAUUUCUCGACAUAUCUGAUUGCUUUAGCGUAAAGGAGUUGCCAGAGGACAUUGGUGCAAUGUGCAAAAGCAGCAUUGAAGAAAAUGGAUUCAAACGAAGUGCCUGUUUCAAAACUGAAAGGCUGCCUGCUUCUGUUAUGGAACUUAAAGCCAUUGAAGUGAUAUGCGACGAUUUCCUUGAAAACUUUAUGGGAACCCUUUUUGCCAAUUCUCACAAACAUGCGCAAUUAAAGUGAUAAUGAUAUCAACCAAAUUGGAAAAGUCCUUUGCAUCAUGAUAAUGCAUCGUGAUUUGCCCAUGUGUUAAAAAACUACUUUAAUGAUAAAUGCAGUACUCCUGCUUGCUUGCAAUAUAUGAUCCUUGAAGCAUGUUAAAGUUGAACAAGUUCUUGCAACUAAGGCAACCAUGGAAUCUUUUCAAUCAUCUCUCUUGCCAAGUUCUUGAUUAAACAAUGUCUUCUCAAACUGAUAUCAAUCAAAACCUAAAUUGCAAACAAUUAAUAUUUCCAUCUCAAGAUCUCUGGUUGCCAAAUGUUCUGCAUUUUGUCGAUAAUCAUUGCAAGUUUAAUGAUUCUUUGAAUUCUCAUGUUUAAGAUAGCUAAACUCAUUUGUAUGCAAAGACUUUUUUGAUUUCAAGUAACACACAUUAAGUCUGCCAUGAAAAAGCACCAAUGAUAUAGAGGACUGGAACAUUGAGCAUGUCCUGUGAGAGGCUAGUCUUUCAAGCCUUUCAAUUCUUGCUGUUCGUAGAAAGCAACGAAAGGCCAGUCUUGAAGCUUCCUGCCAAUCUCAAUGACGGCUUUCUUAGAAUUGGUUUUGUGAAAAUUCAAAUUACAGAGAGAGCAGAGAAACGAGGAAGAGUGCACAUGUUAAAGUACAAUUUUAUCCAUGUAUUAACAGAUAGUUAAUGGAAAAAUCAAAUUUUGGGCUAAACGGAGUACCAACAAUGAGUUCAAAUCUGAGUUUUUUUAGCAUAUGGGCUAUCUUCCGAAUACCUUAUGAUCAUAGGGAUUAUUUAUCCGAUUUGGCCUUAUUGUAAUUAUUCACCAUGGCUAUUAUUGUAAAUAACAUGUUUGCACUCCUCAUUUAUUGACUCUUUUGAUUCUCUUUGAUUUAUCCAAUCAAUGGUGUGCAUAAGUGCAUGGAAAGAAAAUAAAGUUCAAAAAUAACUACCCUUUGAUUUAUCCAAUUAAUGAGUGUUGGUGCAAAAUUUGUUUUCUUAUUCUCUCUCUUGCUGCACCUCUUUAUCCCCCUUCAGUUAAAAUAUGACAUAACAUUACUAUUUUAUUUAAGGGUAAUUCAAAUUAGUAGAUAAAAUUUUGCAAACUAAGUGACAUGGAAAUUGAUGAUUGGAAUAUGACUUAAACGUAGAUAAAUGUGCUUAAUCCUAUUGGUAACAUAUCAUUUAGUUUGUAAAUUUUGUCCUCGUAACAUUACUCAUAUAAAUUAUUUAUUCAACAGCACAACAUUUUUUUUACUAUUUUAUUUUCAACUAUAAAUGCUACAACACAAAAUUUUAAAAGCAGUGCAAUACCAAAUCAUAUGCACUAGAAAAUUCUGUAUCUUCUCGCCUCCUAAUAGCGCGUCAAAUGUCUUUCCCGGCUCGUUCGUUUUCUUUGGGUGAAAUUCAUUGCUCUUCGUUAAGUUGUAUAUAUGUGUGCUGAAACCAACAGACACCUUACAUAACAUUCUCACUUUCUCAUCAAACUAAAUUAACAAAGAGGAUUAAGGGUUAGUUUGGGACUAUUGUGUUUAAAAAAAAAAAAAACUAAUAUUGUUAUGAUUUAAGAAUAAUCAGCUGUAAAAUAAAGGUGAUGAGCGUUUGCUUAACUAAAUUUUAAAAGUGCUGUGAAUAUGAAAAGCAACGCAAAAGUGUUUGGUAAAAUUUAAUGUAAAAGUGAUAUAAUUGUAUACAAUGAUAGAUGGACAUAGUAGUAAGAGUGGGGGCAACGACAGCAGUGGUGGUAAUGGUGAUGGUGGUUGUGGUGGAGUUGGUGGUUGCGGUGGAGCUGGUGGUGGUGCUAAUAGUGGGAUAUGUUGGUUGAGGUGGAAAGGUAACAUUGGUGGUAUGGCGGUGGUAGUGGUGGCAGUUGCAGUUAUGGUGGUGUCAGUGGUGGCGGCAAUGAUGGUGGUAAUGAUAGUUGUGGUUGUGAUGGCGAUGAUGGCAGUUGCAGUAAUGAUGGUGGUGAUGGUGUUGGCAAUGAUAGCAUCGAUGGUGGUAAUAGUGGCGGUGGCAAUGGCGGCGGCGGUAGUGAUGGUGGUGACAAUGAUGGUAGUGAUGACAGAGGUGAAGGUUGUGGUUAUGGCGGCGGUGGUGGUGACAAUAAUGGUGGUUGUAAUGGAGGAGAUGGUGUAAGGUUAGUAUUUGUAAUGGUAGGUGAUAGCGUUUAUUUUAUUCUCUAAGGAAUGUGUUUGGAAGGUUAAACAAUGUCAUUUAAAAAAAAAAAAUUAAUGAAGGUAUUACAACAAUUGAAAAUUAUUAUUAUAGACACAAUUCUACUUUUUUUUUAUUAAAGCCGCUUUUAAAAGCAACUUACAUGCUGCUUUUAAAAGAUGCUAUUUGGAGUCUCUUUGUUUUGGUAAAUAUGUCUGGCUCCAGUCGGAAUGGGUGAUUUCAGAACGACAUUUGAAAUGCUGUUUGAUGCUGUAAAAUCAGUGCAGGAGGAGAAUAAAAUGUUCCAGCACCUCUCCCGAGACAUCAAGUUCGCACAGGACUCUGUACAACCACUCAUCAAAGACAUCGAAAAGUAUAACUCGAAAGAGGGACCGCAAAUUUUGCAAUACAGAUGGAGGAGGGAACAAGCUUUCAACAACUGUUACAUAAUCUCAGUGGCAUUCCCGAAUAUAGAAGAAAUGUAUAUCGACUAUUGCAGUGAUUUAAUAGAGUUGCCCGCCGAGAUUUGUGAUCUUAGUAAACUAAAGAAGCUCAGUGUCACUAACUGUCAUAAGAUAUCUGCCUUUACCUGAAGGGAUUGGAAAGUCGGAAAAUUUAGAAAUGUUGAGGCUAAGAUCCUGCACAAAACUGUCAAAGCUUCCAACCACGAUGAAGAACCUUGGAAAGGUAAACUUUCUUGACAUAUCUAUUUGCUUCAGCAUCAAGAUGUUGCCCAAAGACAUAGGUGAAAUGAGUAGUUUAAAGAAGAUGAACAUGAGACAAUGCUCAAGGUUGCAAGAGCUGCCUCCAUCAGUCAUGGAUCUUAAGCAGUUAAGGGAAGUUGUCUGUGAUGAAGAUACAAAAUACUUAUGGGAAUCUUUCUCAUUGUGUCUCAACAACGUAAGGAUAAUUGUGGCCAAAGAGAAUAUCAACCUAAAUUGGAUCCACAAGACUCAGUUCUAAUACCUGUGUUUCCUUGAUGAUCGUUGCUCUUCAACCUCUCUUGACUUGUGUUUCAUUGUCUUCCUAUUUUAGGCUAUUUCCCAUCUCCUUUUUAGUUUGUUCGUGGCUAGAAUUUCCGUUGGGGAUGUUUCCUAGCGGACGAGCACACAGCUCACCAAGAGGUUGGCACCGGUUGAUGCUUUCUGUUAGGCUUCUGCUCACUGGCGGGCUUGUCAGGCAAAUCUUGUUGGGCAAGGCUUGUCGGGCAAGGCUGAAAGAGAAGGACAUGGUUAACUUUGAAAUGUGCCUUUGUAGGGCCUUAGGUGUAGGUCUUGAGGCUCACAAUCAAGAUUAACUUUUAGGUGUUCAGGCAUGCCACUGCCAUCUUUAGCAUGAUAGAUGUAAAACAGAUGUUGAGUUUUAAUUGUAUAUAUACCCGAGAGGCUGUUUUAGUUAUGAAAGGUGCCUUUGUAGGGCCUUAGGUGUAGGCCUUGAAGCUCUCAAUCAAUAACUAACCCAGUACUCGAACAUAUAAUGUUUGUUUCAUUGAUUGCAGAAGUGUUAUGACUAUUAUACUUCUAAUUACCUGAGCCCGAAGAGCAGAAUGAAUCCAAAUAGGUGCCUUUGUAGGGCCUUAGGUGUAGGCCUUGAGGCUUCCCAUCAGAAUUACUUCUAUACUCAAACGUUCUACGAUAAUCAUAAUAUAACAGAAAUAAAACUAGGAAAUAGGUCGAUUACUUGCGCCCUAAGUAACUUCGGACUUCUUGUUAUCAAAGUCUGUCGUGGAUGGGUUAAGUCCACAUAAGGUUCUUUUUUAUGCCUUGAGACCAAAGACUUUUGAAUGAUCAAUCUUACAUGCCCGAGGGUUUAGAACUUAGAUCUGAUUUAAACUGUGACUACAUAUUCCAAUCGGAUUCAAGCACUGAGGAGUCUUUUAAUCAUCAACUUGCUAGAAAUAACUUGGAUACAAAUGGAAGUAUACAACAUAUUACUAGACUUAUGAAUGAAAAGACAAAAACAAAGAGGGUCGGGCAAGGUUUCACUUUGUCGGGCAAAGCUGGUCGUCUUGCAACUUCCUAUCUUUGUGAUUUAUAGAGGGGUUUGAGAACUUGGAAAGAGGGAUAAGGAGAUGAGUUUACAGAAGGAAAUCGAUACUACAGUAAGAUUUAGACAAAGUAGCAAAGCUUUUACAAAAGCUUUUGGUGAGGGUUGAUCCCGAAAUGGAUGAAGGCUUGGGCUGACUACAGCUUCGUUGAAAGCAAAUCUGGCUUGAGCAGAGUUUGUGCUUAUAUUUGUUUGGUUGUUUGAGUGUCCUCAUCUCUGAUUUUCUUUCUUCUUUUAUAGACAGUUUGGCUUGGCAUCCAGUAGCUUUAAUCUUGCCCGAAUGCAGCUUGAAGGGCAAUGACUCAUCAGCUUUUUACUUGUACUGCUACUGUAAAGUGCUUUUGGGCUGAUUAGCUGGCUGGUCUACACCACUUGGUCUCUAGGUAGGUGAACAAGUGGUUCAAAUGAUCUGCACCUAGUCGGGAAAAGGCCUUUUCUUCCUUCUGGGCUUUAGCUGGACUUCGGGCUUCUUUCCUCCUAGUCAUUCUUUUGGACCGACUCCCUUUUGAGCCCAAAGUUCAAGUUUUAACCCAAACAGUGCCCCCUUCAAUUAAUAUUCAGGCUGGAAUUCCAGGCGCCAAUAUUGAUUGAAUAGCCGCAUGCAUGUAUACCUCAUCUCGGAACUUGUGUUUUCUAAACGGGACGAAUGCAAUCUUGCAUCUCUUGCUCUUCUCAUGACCUUUGAGCUAUCCUCUGAGGUUUCUAUAAAUUCAGGCUCGAAAUUGCUCCUGUCCAGCCAACAGAUCCUCUUCAGCCUUCUCUUUUAUCUCCCUUAACUGGAAAAUGGGUUCCUCCGAAUUCAAUUUGGGUUUCCUAAAACUCCCUUUUCAUGAGAAAAAGGAUUUUCAUCAAAUGUCUACUAUCUUCAACACCUUUGGUCAAACACCCCGUUAUCUCCAACACCUUUGGUCAGACGGUCUCCUUCUGAUAGUUUACCCUCAUGCUCGUUGCUUUUAUAAGUCGGGCUUCACCAUCAUACCUGGUGACGGUUCGCAUUGAGGGUCCUCUACCAGGCUCAUCUUGGCCGCACAACCCGAUCACCUGAUCGGGUUCUAUCCAUGAAGAUAACAGAAAACUGGUUGAGACACCACUGCAUCCAAAAGGAACCAUACAUAGUGCACUGAGGCAGAAUAUGAUGUAAAUUUCACCAAUUUGUCGAAAUGAAUAAAACAUUAUUUUAUCAACUUUUUAUCUUUCUGUCUUCUUGAAUGGUUGAUGAACAAACACUGUACUUUGACAUCUCGAAUCCUGCUUUAUCUUGCAUCCUCUUCAAUAUAACAGUCUCUAACAUCCCAUAAUGUAGGACAUUACCUUUUUAAGAAUUUGACAUUAAUGGGAUGUCUCUGCCAAUUUCCUUCGAGGUCCGCCAAGUAAUAUCCUCCCUUGUCUAAUACUCCACUAAUCAUGAAAUGACCUUCCCAUGUCGGGCUCCAUUUUCCAAAGCCCCUAAGUUGAGCCCCUAGAGGGAGGACUGUCUUCCACACUAAAUCUCCUUCAUUGAAAGACUUUAUCUUUACCUUUUUGUUAUAAGCUCGGGCAAUAGCUCUUUUUCCUUCUUGAAUCUGGUUCAAGGCUUCAAUUCGGGCUACAUCUAAGUCUUCAAUCCCUUGGCACAUGGCUUCGAUGUACUCCUCACUAUGUAACCCAAACUGAUUUUGAAUUCUGACAGAACUUACAUUGAUCUAUAUGGGAAACACUGCAUCUUGCCCGAAAGUUAAAGCAUAAGGAGUUGUCCCUAUUCCUGCCCUCUUAGAGGUUCGGUAUGCCCACAGAGUAUUCCCCAACUUUUCAUGCCACUUUUCCGGACUAUCUGUCACCAUUAUUUUGAUAAUGUUUACCAAAAUCUUGUUGCUGAAUUUUGCCUAGCCAUUUGACUGUGGGUAGUAAGGACUGGACUGGAUCAUUUUUAUUUUGUAUUUGCUUGCAAACUCUUCAACUACUUUUGAGAUAAAAGAUGGCCCACGAUCUGUUACUAUAGUUUCGGGCACCCCAAAUCUGUGCAGAAUCUUGGUCUCAAUAAAAUUCUUGACUGCAGCUAAGGGUAUGGAUUUUACGGCCGAGGCCUCUACCCAUUUGGUAAAGUAAUCCGUUGCUACAAUUAUGAAAGUAUCCCCCUUGCUAGAAGCUAGAUAAAUCUGCCCAACGAAGUCCAUUGCCUAUCCUCUGAAGGGCCAAGGCUUGACUACUGGAUUUAAAGGUACUGAAGGCACAUGUUGUAGUGGUCUAUGUCUUUGACAUUCUUCACACCCUUGGGCAUAGGACUUGCAAUCUUUUUCCAUGUCGGGCCAGAAAUACCCAUACCUUCUAAGCAACCACCUCAUCUUCGUUCCAGCUUGAUGUGCCCCGUAUAUUCCUUCAUGUACCUCGACCAUCACUCUCAUAGAUUCCUCUUGGCCUAAGCAUUUCAAUAGUAACUCGUCUGGAGUUUUCCUUAACAGGUUCUUUGCCCAUAAGACAUACUUGGUUGCUUGCUGUCUAUUAUUCUUGCUUGUGGGUGAAGAAGGAUCCUUUAAAUGAUGAAUGAUAGGCGACCUCCAAUCUUCUAUCUCAGUUUCUAGAACCAUUACAUCCAGACAAAAUCCUCUUUCUAGGAUAGAAGGAAUGUUUCUUCUUUGAAUCUCGACAUCUACCCCAUAUUUUCUUUCCUGUAUUGGCACGCCUGAGGCUAAUUGCGCCAUCUCGUUGGCCGCUAGGUUGGAUCCCCUGGGAACAUGAUUAACUGAUAUCUCAAAAUCCCAAUAACUCAACAAUUGCAUGGCCGCCAAGUAAUACCCUGCCAUGGUGAUAUGUCUGCACUUGAAAUCCCCAUUUAGCUGGUUUAUUACUAACUCUGAAUCACCAAACACCUUUACCUCUACUGCCCCCAGAUCCAUCAAGAUUUCCAAACCAAUUAUUAAGGCUUCAUACUCUGCCCGAUUAUUGGUGUUCCCUUGGUAAUCUAGGAGGAACGAGUAAUAAUGAUAAACCCCUUAAGGGUUCACAAUGACAAUCCCAGCUCCAGAGGCAUUCUGAGUGUAAGAACCAUCAAAAUAAAGCUUCCAAGGAGUAAUCCAGAGGCCAGUCACUCUUUUUAUCUCUUGCUGGACCCACUCCUUUUUACCCGAGAUAUCUUUGCUUGGCGGGAUCCAAACGCUAGUAACUUCCAAGGUCCCCGAGAUAUUGAUUAUCUCAUCUUGAGACUCUUGAUGCUCCACCAAGAAGUCGGCAAUUGCUUGGCCUUUGACUGCCCUUUGGGGUACAUACUGAAAGCUGAAUUCUGAUAAUGCUAGAAUCCACUUCCCAAUUCUUCCCGUCAACAUUGGUUUUGACAACAUAUACUUUAUCACAUCUAUUGGUAAUGAUGUGCACGUGACAAGGUAACAUGUAAUGCCUUAGCUUACUGGCAGUGAAAUAUAGAGCUAGGCACAAUCUUUCCACUGGGGAGUAUCUUGUUUCUACCUCGUUUAGAAUUCUACUGAGGUAGUACACCGCCUGCUCUUUCCCACCUUCAUUGUUUUGAGUUAGCAAACUUCCGAUUGAUUUUUCUGAAGCUGAGAUAUAUAGCUUUAAGGGUUUUCCCCUUUGAGGUGGUACCAACACUGGUAGAGAAGUCAAAUAGGCUUUGAUACUGUCAAAAGCCCUUUGGUGUGGUGGUCCCCACUCGAAAUCUUCUUUAUCUUUCAGUCUCAGCAUAAGAGUCAGUGGUUGGAUCUUACCCGCUAAAUUGGCAAUGAAUCUCCUUAAGAAAUUAAUUUUGCCUAGCAGCCUCUGAAGUUGUACUUUAUUGGUGGGUGAAGGCGACUCCAUUAUUGCCCGAGAUUUGUUUUUGUCGACUUCUACUCCUCUUUAGGUCAGCCAUGGGCAUGGGAUAUUCAUCUUUUGGUGUGGCGCCAUUAAUAUUUCUGUAAUCAACACAACAUCGCACUGCUUUUGUUAUGGCUUUUAAAACGGGUACAAUGUUGGCUAACCACUCUACAUACUUAGCUGGUCUAAUAAAUCUAGCUUUUACUAGUCUUUUAAUUUCUUCUUUGACCUUCUCUUCUAUCUCAUUUGACAUCCUUCGUGGUGCUUGCUUAACAGGUUUAUACCCCUCCUUGAUGCGCAUUCUGUGUUCCAGCAAGGUUGAAUCCAAACCUGGCAUCUUAGUGUAAUGCCAAGCAAAAUAAUCUUUAAAUUCUUGUAAAAGACAGAUAAUCUUCGCCCGAUCAUUAGUUUCUAACAAGCCACUGAUUUGUAUAGGUCUUGGAUCUUUUUCUGUCCCCAAAUCAAUGACUUCCAAAGGAUCCUGAACCUCUGGUGGUGGUUUGUCUGGUUCUGCGCACAAAAAUUCAACUAACUCCAGGCUUUUGGGCAAGUUGUCUGGCCCAUCCAAGUCAUAUAUGCACUCGGCCAUUCGUAUGGCCAUAUCCAAUUCUUCUCCGUAAAGCUCUUCUCUGCUUCUAUCCUGAUUGGUCGGAGUUCCUAGCUGCAAUUCCUGCUCUUCUUUGUCUAAGAGCUCCCUUUCUUGCUUUCUUCCUUUCCCAUACACCAACAGUCUUUUGAUCAGGGACAUGACUGCCAUUACUUGAUCCUUCCUAUUUUGUUCUGUCAUUGAUGAUGUAGGGGUGUUGAGACGAUACAAGGUCUAUCCCACUAUUCUCUAGUAAUGAGCAUUCCUUGUUCUAAAAGCUUUUGGGUCGUCACCUUGGUAAGGCGGCCGUUCUCAUCUGCUCCUGAACAUUUCAGAAUUCCUACGUUGGGAUUGUAGAAACUCGCCUCCGCAACAUUGGUUGUGGGGAGAAAUGGCCGUGAUUCGGCCUCCACCAUUUCCCAAAAGCCUAGUCCCUAUGUCCCUGCCUCAUGAUAAACAACCACUUGUUGAUGUAGAGUGGAGGGUAUGACGAGACUUUGGUGGAUCCAGUCCCUUCCAAGUAAGGCUCCAUAGGUGGAAGUGCAAUCUACCACAAAGAAUGCCAACAUGAUUUGUUUGGACCCCAAAUCCACUUCUAAAGGCAAUAUCCCAUGAGUUUUGGUAAUAGUGCCCGAGAAGCUUGAAACCGUGAAGUCCGUAGGAAUAAGAUCUUCUGUGCCUCUCCCUAUUCUUUUCAUUUGCUUGGCUGGCAGUACAUUAACAGCCUCUCAUCCAUCAAUUAAAAUUCUUUUGAAAGACACCCCUUCCAAAUGAGCCGCAAAAUAUAUUGGCUUAAGAUGGUUGGCUAGUAACAUGUUUGGACAACUGAACACCAUUUUAUCCGUAUAGAUCCUUAAAGGACUAUCUUUGGAUGCUUCGGAAAAUUCAGCUUUUCCUGACUCUCUUUCUCCAGCUAUCUUAACACUGACAUGGGCCAUCAUUGGCUCCGUCGUCACAUAGUCUCCUUUCAUAGUGGCAGGUUGAUUAGGCUCAGCACCAAACAUGGCGGAUAACACAUACACCAUGUUGAUAUGAAAAUUGCUAGGCUCUAGCAGUUUUUCUUUCUUGCUCCCGAUUUGUUCCAUGAACUCAUCUAACCAGGCCAUCGUAUCUUCUGGAAGUAGUGGUUUUGGUGCCCCCUUAUGUUGAUUCAUGCCCGAAUAUGGUGUUUGCUUUGGAACUUCACUGAAAGGAUCCACUAAUGAUAAAGAAGGUGGUUUUCUUUCAGGCGAAACAGUUCCAAAACAAAUAGGCUCCGUCUUCCAUCUGGGAGUUGGCAUCAUGAUCAUAUCUUCUUGAGCUCUCCUCAAGUACCUAUAUUUCCCAGGGUGUAGGCUUUGCGGUACAUGGUUUCCUUCACCUUCUGUUUUACUAUUAGCUCUCUCCACCUCUUUUUUACUCCUCCAGCGGAACUGACUACUCCCCCAGAUGACGUUUUUUCAAACUUUUGAUUCUUGGAUGCUUCAGACGUCGCGGGGGUCUUUAAAGAAUUCAUGUAGGCUUUGUGCUGCCUCUGGACCCUUCUAACCAUCGAGGCUCCCAUUUGUUUAACGGGCUGUCCAUUUUUUCCAACCACAUACCAUUUUCGCUCGAGGCGGGCAGGGUUAUCUUUCUUGACAGGAUUUGUUAUCCUAUCAUUUCUCUUAACUUCUUUUCCCAUAUGGCCAUAUUGAAGAUGUUCUACACCCCUAUCUUUUGGCUUUUUGGCAUCCUUGUCUUCUGCCUCCUUAGAAGCUUUAUGAUUACGAAAUAUCUCUGAUAAAGCUCUGGGUUGGGAAUCGCCUCCUAACCGCUGAAAAACACUUCGAGAAGUAUCUAUUCCUGCAGUCCGCCUAGCUUUCUCACGGGCCUCUUUUCUUUCUUCUUCUUUCUUCCUCCUGAUCAGCUCAUGAUCCAUGAGGACUCCUGCUGGUGGUAUUUCGAGCUCACACUUGCAUUGGCAUUUAUUGCAAAGAACCAUCCCUUUGAUUAUAGCUGCUUUUGGAUGUUCGGUCAAUCUGAUCACCCCUUUUGUGGAUUUGUCAGCCAGUCUUCCUUUUUCUAUUUCCCUUGCGACCUUUUCUUUCCCCUUCUCGGCCCAUGCCAUACUGAUCAUAUUUAUUGGGGCUUUUGAGAAGGGAUCUGUAUGUUUGCCCACCACUGAUUCCUCUGGCUGGUUGGUUUUAAGUCUCUCUUUCCCUAUUAUCUUUUACCCCAAGUUGAGGUAAAGAUAUAGGAAUAGUUGGUCUUACAACUAGGUCUGCUUUCCUUCUGAAGCCUGCGGAGGCGCUAUCCAGUCUUUGUAACAUUUGCAAUAAGGUAGUUUACAAGUCUUCAUCAAAAUGUUCUGGAACAUCUGCUCUUUUUAAAUCUUCAAGUUUUCUUGACAUAUUUCUUUGGUAAGUAAGAUCUGAUUAAAGGAAUCUCACCAGGCGUGCCAAAACUAUGUUUGUGGCUAGAAUUUCCGUUGGGGAUGUUUCCUAGCACGAGCACACAGCUCCCCGAGAGGUUGGCGCCGGUUGAUGCUUUCUGACGGGCUUCUGCUCACUGGCGGGCUUGUCGGGCAAGGCUGAAAGAGAAGGACAGGGUUAACUUUGAAAGGUGCCUUUGUAGGGCCUUAGGUGUAGGCCUUGAGGCUCACAAUCAAGAUUAACUUUUAGGUGUUCAGGCGUGCCACUGCAAUCUUUAGCAUGGUAGAUGUAAAACAGAUGUUGAGUUUUAAUUGUAUAUAUACCCGAUAGGCUGUUUUAGUUAUAAAAGGUGCCUUUGUGGGGCCUUAGGUGUAGGCCUUGAGGCUCUCAAUCAAUAACUAACCCAGUACUCGAACAUAUAAUGUUUGUUUCAUUGAUUGCAGAAGUGUUAUGACUAUUAUACUUCUAAUUACCCGAGCCCGAAGAGCAGAAUGAAUUCAAAUAGGUGCCUUUGUAGGGCCUUAGGUGUAAGCUUUGAGGCUUUCCAUCAGAAUUACUUCUAUACUCAAACGUUCUACGAUAAUCAUAAUAUAACAUAAAUAAAACUAGGAAAUAGGUCGAUUACUUACGCCCCAAGUAACUUCGGACUUCUUGUUAUCAAAGGCUGUCGUGGAUGGGUUAAGUCCACAUAAGGUUCUUUUUUAUGCCUUGAGAUCAAGGACUUUUGAAUGAUCAAUCUUACAUGCCCGAGGGUUUAGAACUUAGAUCUGAUUUAAACUGUGACUACAUAUUUCAAUCGGAUUCAAGCACUGAGGAGUCUUUUAAUCAUCAACUUGCUAGAAAUAACUUGGAUACAAAUGGAAAUAUACAACAUAUUACUAGACUUAUGAAUGAAAAGACAAAAACAAAGAGGGUCGGGCAAGGUUUCACCUUGUCAGGCAAGGCUGGUCGUCUUGCAACUUCCUAUCUUUGUGAUUUAUAAAGGGGUUUGAGAACUUGGAAAGAGGGAUAGGGAGAUGAGUUUACAGAAGGAAAUCGAUACUACAGCAAGAUUUAGACAAGGUAGCAGAGCUUUUACAAAGGCUUUUGGUAAGGGUUGAUCCCGAAAGGGAUGAAGGCUUGGGCUGACUACAGCUUCGUUGAAAGCAAAUCUGGCUUAAGCAGAGUUUGUGCUUGUAUUUGUUUGGUUGUUUGAGUGUCCUCAUCUCUGAUUUCUCUUUCUUCUUUUAUAGACAGUUUGGCUUGGCCUCCUGCAGCUUUAAUCUUGCCUAAAUGCAGCUUGAAGGGCAAUGACUCAUCAGCUUUUUACUUGUACUGCCACUGUAAAGUGCUUUUGGGCUGAUUAGCUGGCUGGUCUACACCACUUGGUCUCUAGGUAGGUGAACAAGUGGUUCAAAUGAUCUGCACCUGGUCGGGAAAAGGCCUUUUCUGCCUUCUGGGCUUUUGGUGGGCUUCGGGCUCCUUUCCUCCUAGUCAUUCUUUUGGGCCGACUCCCUUUUGAGCCCAAAGUUCAAGUUUUAACCCAAACACAGUUUACGCCCUUUGUUUCGUAAAUAGUAGUGUGGGAUAUUGCAAGGUAUAAUCAUUGGUCGUUAAAUGAGCACUAUUUUGAUAACCUUAAGAAAUUUUCUAAACUUGUGAAAUGUGAAGGGAAAUUUAAUAUCUGAGCAAUAAGUUUAAUGUGAAAGUUUUUUUUUCAGAGGGAAAAUGUGGUUUGUGUUUUUAAUGGGACUUCUUAAACUCUACUUUAACAUAGUUUCACAAUCAAUCCCUAUACACAGUUUCUUAACCUUUUGGUUUGAAAAUCUGUAUGUAUAGUUCAACACCACAGUGUGAUUAUGCUCUCCCAAACUAAGUUUUAUAAGUAACAACAACAACAACAAAGCCUUUUCCCACUAAGUGGGGUCGGCUAUAUGAAUCCUAGAACGCCAUUACGCUCGGUUUUGUGUCAUGUCCUCCGUUAGAUCCAAGUACUCAAGUAUUUUCUUAAGGUCUCUUCCAAAGUUUUCCUAGGUCUUCCUCUACCCCUUCGGCCCUGAACCUCUGUCCCGUAAUCACAUUUUCGAACCGGAGCGUCAGUAGGCCUUAUUUGCACAUGUCCAAACCACCGGAACCGAUUUUCUCUCAUAUUUCCUUCAAUUUUGGCUACUCCUACUUUACCUCGGAUAUCCUCAUUCCCAAUCUUAUCCUUUCUCGUGUACCCAUACAUCCCACAAAGCAUCCUCAUCUCCGCUACACCCAUUUUGUGUACGUGUUGAUGCUUCACCGCCCAACAUUCUGUGCCAUACAACAUCGCUGGCCUUAUUGCCGUCCUAUAAAAUUUUUCCUUGAGCUUCAGUGGCCUACGACAGUCACACAACACGCCGGAUGCACUCUUACACUUCAUCCAUCCAGCUUGUAUUCUUCUGUUGAGAUCUCCAUCUAAUUCUCCGUUCUCUUGCAAGAUAGAUCCUAGGUAGCGAAAACGGUCACUUUUUGUGAUCUUCGCUAGAUUGCUCCGGUCAUUAGUGUGGAUAAGUAUAUAAAUGGAUAGAGAUAGGAAAGCAAACACAAGAUGUACGUGGUUCACCCAGAUUGGCUACGUCCACGGAAUAGAGGAGUUCUCAUUAAUUGUGAAGGGUUUACACAAGUACAUAGGUUCAAGCUCUUCUUUAGUGAGUACAAGUGAAUGAUUUAGUACAAAUGACAUUAGGAAAUAUUGUGGGAGAAUGAUCUCGUAACCACGAAACUUCUAAGUACCGGAGUGUGGUAUCGUCUUAACUUGCCUUAUCUGUCUCAUAGGUAGAUGUGACAUCUUCUCUGGAAGUACUCUUCCUCCAUCCAGGGUUGGUAUCUGUAACUGGUGAAGAUGCACAAGGUAAUGUAUCAAUUUCACUUGAAGCUUACUUGUAGUUUCAGGCUUGGUCAAGCGCGAUACAAACCAUGUAGUAGGAGUCCCCUAAGUCGCCGAGCUAGGGGAUCUGCUGAAAGAGGUGACAGACAAGGUAAGCAAUCAGAGCUCCGGCUGAUUGUUCACAUUCUCCCUAUCUUGCAGGCAGCAUGAAGGAUAAAGAGAAGAAAAAUGAGAAGAGAUGAUAUGGGAUACUUUUGCUUUUGAAGAAGUAACUUUCCACAGGCUUAUUCUUGAACUGGGCUGGAGGGUUUUCUGGUUUCCUCCAGAGUAUAAGGCCGACUGAAGAAUUUGAGGGUCAAAACAAGUCCAUCAAAUCUAGAGUACGUUCGACCCUGCUGAUAUGGGAUACUUUUGCUUUUGACAGAGUAGUGGAUGUAUCGGCACGUGUGCUGUUAUGCUUGUCUCCACAUGCUUCCUUGUAUCCUUCUCACUUGCCUUAUAUGUUCCUCAGGCAGAUGUGGUAUCUUCCCUAGAAGCAUAAGAUGUUGAAGAUGAGUACUCGAGAGCAAUGCCAGGUAAGUAAUCAAGUAAGGGGUUCCAGGCAGUCAGUUCCUGGCUGGAAGCUUGAUUCCAAGUGCUGACUGAUUGCUCUCUCUCUCCUUAUCUUGCAGGUAAGAACAAGGCCAAAGGAAAAGACAGGGAAAAAGCAUGAUAUGGGAUACUCUUGCUUUUAACCCUGAUGAUAUGAGAUAUUCUUGCUCUAGUAUAGCUUGUUUACAGAGGUAUUAUCGGGGGGAAAGAAAGCUGAAUAUUUCGAAAGGCUUCGUUGGGAGUGCCCUGUCAGAUAAGAGGAAGGGUUGAGCAUUUUUGCAGGUCUGCCUGUCCGUUGGGAUGGAGGUCGACAUAUAUAGGAGUCUCCCUAACAUCAAGUAAUAAUGCUAUUCCUUUACCCUACCCUGCUUGGUCAUAGCACGGUAGUGGGAGCUGCCAGCUUCACAUGUUUUAACUUUGUCAGAGCACUUUGAAAAAGUGGUCUGUGGUAUCUGGAAAGCUGAUGUUGCGUGUGAAGAUUACAGACAAGCUUUAUCCAAGGAGAUCCAGCUCUUGAAGUUGGGAAAGUGAUGCCUCUUCGGUUUUCGAACAAGCAAUCCUGUCGGGGAUCUGACUCUCGAGAUUCGAAGAACGAUGCCUCUUCGAUUUUUGAGAAAGCAAUCCUGCUGGGGUCUGGCUCUCGAGAUUCGGAGAGCGGUGUCUCUUCGAUUUUUGAGAAAGUAAUCAUGUUGGGAGUCUGGCUCUCGAGAUUCGGAGGGCGGUGCCUCUUCGAUUUUGGAGCAAGCAAUCUUGUUGGGAGUGUUUUCUCGAAUGUGAGUAAAGGUUGGGCAUGUUUGCUAGUCUACCUUGCCACGAAGCACAGAGGUUGACACACAGGGACUUUCCAGUUAUCCAGCAGUGGUACUGUUCCUUUACCCUCUCUUCGAUUUUUGAGAAAGUAAUCAUGUUGGGAGUCUGGCUCUCGAGAUUCGGAGGGCGGUGCCUCUUCGAUUUUGGAGCAAGCAAUCUUGUUGGGAGUGUUUUCUCGAAUGUGAGUAAAGGUUGGGCAUGUUUGCUAGUCUACCUUGCCACGAAGCACAAAGGUUGACACACAGGGACUUUCCAAUUAUCCAGCAGUGGUACUGUUCCUUUACCCUUGUGGGUAAUAAUAUGGUAGCUAGACCUUCAAAAUUUAUGUGUCUAAACUUUGUUAGUGUUGUUUCUUUGCUAUUAUUUUACCCUUCUUGGUCAGAGCGAUGUAGUGGGAGCUGCAAGCUUCACGUGUCUCAACUUUGUCAGAGAACUUUGGCAAAGUUAUCUGUGGUACCCAUGAGCUACUGUUGCCUGUGGGAAGUGGGUGAUUGAACAGUACGAUUCAUGUGCUUUCUACUUCUCCAGAAAUCUUCGACAGAAUGCCCAUAAUUUCCGCAAAGCUGAGUGUGCGUGUGACAGGUGCUGACAAGGCUGGAAAAGUAGGUGCCUCUUCGAUUUCUGAGAUCGGCCCUCGUGGUCUCUGAGCAGCCCAGCUUUUGAGAAAGCAAACGCCUCUUCGAUUUCUGAGCAGGCGCCUCUUCGAUUUCUGAAGCUUCGUCGAGUGCAGAUUUUUAUAAGGGGUGACAUUAAGUUCCAAAGCACACUUGAAUAUCCACCAGUAGAAGCUCCAUUCUUGCACUUCUAUGAUCUUGAUUUGUCCGACCUCUUCUUUCUUCAACACCUUUGAAAAUGUCUGGCCCCUCCGACCGUCGUUUUGACUUGAACCUUGUUGAAGAGGCAGCCCCGCCUUCUCCAGACAACAUAUGGCGCCCAUCCUUCGUCUCCCCUACUGGUCCUCUUACCGUCGGGGAUUCCGUGAUGAAGAAUGAUAUGACCGCUGCGGUAGUGGUCAGGAACCUUCUCACUCCCAAAGAUAACAGACUACUUUCCAAACGGUCUGAUGAGUUGGCCGUUAAGGAUUCUCUAGCUCUCAGUGUUCAGUGUGCAGGUUCUGUGUCUAAUAUGACCCAACGCCUAUUUGCUCGAACCCGCCAAGUUGAAUCAUUGGCGGCUGAAGUGAUGAGUCUCAAACAGGAGAUUAGAGGGCUCAAGCAUGAGAAUAAACAGUUGCACCGGCUCGCACAUGACUAUGCUACAAACAUGAAGAGGAAGCUUGACCAGAUGAAGGAAUCUGAUGGUCAAGUUUUACUUGAUCAUCAGAGAUUUGUGGGUUUGUUCCAAAGGCAUUUAUUGCCUUCGUCUUCUGGGGCUGUACCGCGUAAUGAAGCUCCAAAUGAUCAACCUCUGAUGCCUCCUUCUUCUAGGGUUCUGUCCAGUACUGAGGCUCCGAAUGAUCCCCCUCCGGUGCCUUCUCUUUCUGGGGCUCUACCGACUGCUGAGACUUCUCCUAAGCAACCUUUGUGAAGGCUCCCUCUUGUUUGUUUAUUUUGACUCAAGUAUAUGUACAUAUUUGUAACUGAUCGGGGAUAUCAAUAAAUAAGCUUUCCUUCAUUUCAACGUAUUGUGUUAAAUACACCAAAACCUUCUUCGCUAAGUUCUUUGAAUUUUCUUUUGUUGAAGCUUGUAGUUGAAGCUUUGUGAGUGGAGCAUGUAGGUUGAGGUAGUGUUCCCUUAAUUUCCCGAGUGAGGAAAACUUCUCGGUUGGAGACUUGGAAAAUCCAAGUCACUGAGUGGGAUCGGCUAUAUGAAUCUUAGAACACCAUUGUGUUCUGUCCUGUGUCAUGUCCUCCGUUAGAUCCAAGUACUCUAAGUCUUUUCUUAGGGUCUCUUCCAAAGUUUUCCUAGGUCUUCCUCUACCCCUUCGGCCCUGAACCUCUGUCCCAUAGUCGCAUCUUCUAAUCGGAGCGUCAGUAGGCCUUCUUUGCACAUGUCCUAAUCACCGUAACCGAUUUUCUCUCAUCUUUCCUUCAAUUUCGGCUACUUCUACUUUACCCCGGAUAUCCUCAUUCCUAAUCUUAUCCUUCCUCAAGUAUAUGUAAAAGGAACAAAAAAGAAGAGGCUGAAGAGUCUCCAUAAGACAAGAACUUUUAUGUCACAGAGUCAGGUAUUAAUCUUGUCGUCGGUAAGUUUCUCAAGUAUCUAUAUUCACAUUUGUUGGUCAAGUUUUCAGAAUUAUGUUCACAUAUAAUCUGAAUUCAUUGCCAAAUGUUGAGGAAUUGAUUGUUAUUGACUAUUGCGAUGAAUUGGUCUCAAACUACGUUUUCCAACCAACACAGUUUGAUCAGUUUUAAAAAAAAAACACUGUUUGAUUAGUCUCGUUCAAUACCAUUACGUGAUCAGCUUAAAUUUACUUUUCAUGUUCAAACUUUUAAUAGUUAAACUAAGAAAGAAUGGGCCAUAUUUUAUUUCUUUUAAAAGUUGUUCACAUAGAAGUGGACAUUGACAAAGUAGAUCAUGAAUAACAUUAUAACAUUGUAAUUUGGAUGAAAAUACACACAUCCAAUACUUUAAUUAGAUGCAUUAUACUUUAAAUGAAAAUAAAUAAAUUUAAUAUUCUUAGAGAAGGUCACAAUAGAAAUUUCACAACUAAGAACGGAUUAGAGCAUGCCAAUACUUAAAAAGCCGACUUGGCUUUGUAAUGGGAAGGGUACAAAGAAAUUUCACAGCUAAAAAUUAAUUAGAUCGUGACAAUGAGGUAGAUGAGGGGGUUCUUUUCUCCAAAUAAACUCUUAAAGUAUUUUUAUAUAAAACUUAUAGUUUUGAAACAAAUAAUUUUACAUUAGAAAAGAUAGCUUAUACUUUCACUAAAAAAGAGAUCUGAUUUUUAUUAAUUAACAUUGAAGUUUUUGCCUAUUCAAGAGAUGUGGGUCCCGUAUUUCAAUCAACACAUGUGAGUUUCAUCUCUAUUAAAAAGAUGAUACAAAUGAUGGUUACAAAUAAAUGGUAAGAACAAUAUUUUUAUUUACAAAAAAAUUAUUAUGCACUGCUAUCUAAUAAAGUAAACAAGGUCAAAAGGAGGACAAAGUGGGUUUCUUUUAGCGCUAAUAUUCUUUUAGAAACUAUAUAUUUGAUUGUAUGAACAAUAAAGUCAUUGUACAAUUUAAAUUUAAAACUCAUAAAGAAAAUUAUACAAGGCAUACAAAGUUUAUUAAUCAACAUUGAACCUUUUGUGCAUAUUCUAUGAAAACAUAAGGAAAUUAUACAAUGGUCUCCUCACAAGAAAUUCUCAACUCUUUCAUUUUUUGUGAACUUGUGAUACACGCUAAAGGGGAUGAACUCUUCAAUGAAAUUUUGACACGUAAAAAUGAGACCUAUUCGUAAGUUUAUUGAAAAUAAUAAAGCUCAUAUGAGUAGCCUAGAAUACAAUUUCCUUGUGUUUUCAUAGCAUAUGCACACAAAAUAUAAUGUUGCAAAAUAAGUUUUAUAUUUUAUGUAUAUAAUUAUAAGUAUAAUAUUUUCUCAUCUUCUAGUACAAGUUUUGUGCAUAUUCUACAAAACCAAAAACAAAUUAAAACUCAACAUCUUAGCAAUAUUUUCUCAAAAAAAUAAAAAAACAUUUCGUAGUAAACGAAUAUACUUUUCCCUCACACUAAAUUUCGUAAAUAUUUUAUGAAAAUGUAAGGAAAUUACACUAUGGUCUCCUUGACACGCCCCGAUCCCGAUAUUCCUCGAAUACCAGGAUAGGCACGUGUUGGCCGACACCCGAGGGUGACGAAAGCCAUUUAUUGAAUGCAAAUGCUGAGAAUAAGAAAUAGAUAAGACCUAGAAAUAUAAAAGAAUAAUGAUUAUGCAUUUAAGAAAUGUGUUCAGAGCAUACAACUAACUAGAACACUAAAAGAAAUAAUAUAAAAAUUGAGUUAACAAAGGAGUGGGUCCUACACCGAGAGGACUCGAAGAUGCCGAUGCAAAAGUGCUUGGACGUCGGGAUUGUAUGCACCGAUUUUAAGUCCUGAAGGGGGCGCAAAACAAAGGUGAGUGGACCAAGUUUAUAUAUACAUAAUAAUAAAACAAUUAUCAACGUACUAACCCCCAGGUUUAUAUAAAGAAAACUACUAGCAUAAUAAGUGAUAGGUUUACUGAAAACCCUAGCAUGCCAUAAAACAUCUCAACAGGUAUAAUACGGAAAAACAUAUCAUCGCAUGUAUCAUUUCGUAGAUCGUCUCGUAAGUGUGGUGUGCUGCUAGUAAGAUCAUUGAAAUAAAAAUAACUCCCGACCCUAUGCCAGCACCGUGGUCUCUGCGCCCGUAGCCAGAUAUUACCAACUCCCGGCCCAAUGCCUGCUCCGUGUCCCUCAGCCCGUAGCUAGGGAUUAUUUCUCCCGGCCCAUAUGCCAACACCAGAUCCUCGCCCUAGGCGACAUACUGUCCACUAGGUACGCACAAAUAGUUAUGCCUCUCAUAAAUAACCAUUUCAUAGUAUAAAGUCAUCCAUCGUCUAUACCAUAAAAAAGGGUUUUGAAGACACGUUCUAGUAUCCUAUCGUCAUCCAUCAGAUAGUCUACCAGUUCAUGGUUUUUAUAGAAAAUACGAUAUAUUAAAAUAUAGCUCAAUAUAGGCCAACAAUUAAUUCCUCACUAAAAACACGAGACGAAAAUCAACAUAUUCAAUAAACAUGCUUAACAUAAAAUCAAAUCAUAAACUCGUAAGGCAUGCUAUUCAUUUAUGAAAUUGAACUAUAAAAAUCAUGUAAUUUUAGAAGGGGUCCACUCACAGUACUUAGGCGCAAAAAACUGCGCUACUAGCGAAGACGGAAACGUCACAAUAAUUGUCCCUAAACAUUUAAAAAAACUCUACUCAAACAAUUUAAUUUAGGAAAACGGACUUCAGAAACGGGUCCAGGACGUCGAAAUUAACCUAAGAGAGGUCCCAGACAAAACCUUGAAAAGUCAACCCUAAAGUCAACGCUGACUGUUAACCGAUCAAAGUCAAAGCUGACCGUUGUCCGAGUCAACGGUCAGAGUAAAGGGUCAAAGGUCAACUAGGUCUGGGCUAAGGGUUUGGAUCAGGAUUAGGGUUUAGGUUUAGGUUAAAUAAGGUUAUGACCUUUUGUGUUUUGGUUUUGGGUAGGAAUAAAUGGGUGGUUUGGGCUUGAGCCUAAACCCAUACAACACACACAUACAAAUGCCAGCACACACACCUGCACGACAUAACACACACACACGGUACAACACACUCACAUACACACGCACUGACACACACACACACACACACCACCUACAUGGACACACACAAACACACACACCACACACAAACACAAUCCUCAGCCUAAGGCAAAGCACGGCCCAAUACACACACACACACACACUCACUCACAUGCACGGCCCAUGCAUGGCACGGCCCAUAGGCCAAUUAACCCACCAAAAGAAUAGAAACUGGGCUGGCUAAAACGGGCCUAGAGCCCGUGGGCUUGAGAAACGGCCUAAAAGGCCUGGUGUCACUGGAAUUAAUGGAGAAGAACGCCAGAGUAUUUUCUGGGAAUGAAGGACCGAGAAUCACAGAGGUGAAAUAGGGGUUAAAACCCUUGAAUUUCCAAUCAAAUUCAACAUGCAAGGAAUAGGAAUUAUACCUGAGGUUUAAUGGAAGUCAAUUCGAGUCCACAGAACUUCGAAUUUGUCGAGCUUAAACAUGAUUUGCGCUGGAGCCUCUCAUCGGGAAACUGGUAAAGGAAGAACAGGGAAUUACAGAGGUCGUUAUCAGUGAAUUCCAACUCAAAUUUCUUCCAUAAAAUUAGAAAACCCAACUAGGGAUCGAUUGGAAGAAAUCCUAAGCUGAAUCAAUGACUGGAACAUCAAGUUCCAUCUCUAGCUCGGCGGAACUCAUGGAGCUCUCCAUUCCGCUCCAUCCCGUAACCAGCUCGAACAUGCAGAGCAACACUUCAAAUAUACAAACCAACCAGAUGACGGAUUUGGUGGUUGAGGGUCAUGAUUUGAUUGGAAAGGAUGAAGGUUGUGGGUGAGGAUGCAUGGUGGUGUGCGUGGUUUAUAGAGGGAGAGGGAGUGAAACAGAAACAAAAAGAAGAAGAAGAAAGAGUCAUGGGGGGGGAACAAAGAGAAAGAGAGAGAGAUGAGGUUUGUUAGGGUGCUACCACGUGACAGUUUGAGGGAGUUUAGGAAUUUGGAUAAAAGGUCUAGAUUUAGUCAAGCUAGGGGACCAAAAUGAUAAAUUCAAUAAAACUUUGGGAAAAUAUAAAAUUACAUAUAAGUUCAGGGGUGGGGUUUAACACUCCUCUCAAGAAAUUCCAAGAAAUUCCUAGCUCCAUUAUUUUUCGUUAACUUAUAAUUCAUGGGAUCAAUUUAUGAAAGGAUGUAUGAUACACGUAAAUAAGAUCAAUUUAUAAGUGCAUUGAACAUGACAUAUUAUGUUAAUAGAGAAACAUAUAAUUUUCUUAUGUUUUCAUGCCAUGUGCACAAAAAGUUUUAUUGGUGUUGAAAAUUUUGUAUGUAUAUAAGCAUAUUUUCUCAUCUUAUAGUAUGCUAAAAGGAAACCAGAUAGUAGCAUCUUCCUAAUAAAUUCUCUAACUAACUUACACCAGGCCUAUGAAUUCACUCGCAACAAAAUUUGAACUGAGAAAAAAAUUCAUCUUACACUAUUCUCCAAUGAAAUAAGAAAGGUCAAAAUGAGGGCAAAGUGACUUUCUUUUAGCAAUAGUAACCGUUUUUUUUUAACAAACAAUAUAAUCCACACUAAGGAGCUGAGGGAGGUGGGUUAAGCCUCACAAUGACUAACAAUAAUGUGGUUCAAAUUCUCCUUUGGUGAGAAUUGAACCUAAGAACUCUCACUUACAAGUGAAGAGGAAUACCACUAGACCUUACUAUUAAGUUGCCUAAUAAUAGUUCUUUUAAAAACUAUAUAUUUGAUUACAUGAACAAUAAAGUCAUUGUAUAAUUUAUAUUUAAAACUCAUAAAGAAAGUUAUUUAGGAAAUAAAAUUAUAUUUACAAAGACAUACAAAUUUUAUUAAUCAAUAUUGAAACAAUUGUGCAUAUUUUAUGAAAGCAUAUUGAUGAGAUUAUAAUAUAGUCUCCCACAUGAAAUUCUCAGAUCUAUUAAUUUUCGUGAACUUGUGAUACACGGUAAAUGUGUGAAUUCUUCAAUGAACUUCUGAUACAUGUAAAUCAAAUCCAUUCUUAAGUUUAAACUAGAAAUGACGAAGCAACCAAGAAGAACGAAGUAGACCCAGGAGGAGCCAAUAACGCACCAACACAAAACUAAAAUACUCAUUAGGAGAGACUCACAAAUAACGUCAAGAAAAUAGUAAGGCUAGGAGAAUGGAGAUGGGCACCCAUUGGCCACAAGCUGAAGAAAGGGGUCGGGAGCUGUGAAUUUUAUAAAUAUAUGAUUUUGGUAGAGGAAAGGAGAGAGCCGCUAGCAGUAGUUUCUUAUAUAUUAGCAUUCCAAGAAUCCAUCCUGUUGACUUUUAUUAAUGUACUUCUGGUACAAUUUUAAUAAGAGUAUUAUCGGAAAGUGUAAAUAUGUAUUUUACACUAAUAAGAAAGAUGUAAAUUUGGGAGCUCAUUUAUUUAUGGUCUCUUUUAACCAGUGAAAAUGGAUAUACAUAUUUUAUUAGUCCACCUCUUAAAAAUGCAAAUAUACAUUUUAUUCACAUGUUUACACUAAUCCUUUGAGAGCUUUCCAACCAAAAAAAUUUAAAUUGUACAUUUGUAGACAUUUUGCAUCUUGUAUUAGGAGAUAAAAUUUUCAAUGUGCUUGGUACGAGAUAGUACACCACAUGCUAUUAUAUAAUUGGAAUAAAAAAUUAAUUUUUCAAGUGUUAUUCUAUUUGUAUAACGAUAUGUGUUAUAUUACUUUGUGUUUCGUGCACUGAAAAAUAUCUCUUAUCAGAUAUGCUAGUGGAGUACCAAUUUGGGGUUGUUGAAAUUAAUAUUUUUUUUUUUGUCAAAGGGUUGUUGAAAUUAUUUAAAAGAAUAAAUUAUAGUAAUGGUAUCUCAAUUUUAAUGAAAUUAGAGCAAUAAUUCUUCAACUAAAAACCUAUUAUCAUUCGUCAUUCAACUCAUCAAAAUGUGUAGUUAUGAUCAUUUUCGUCAACUUUGUCAAAAUUUUGUCAGAAUGAAUUAUGUUAGAAGGACCAUUGCUACAAUUAGAUUAAAGUUGAGGGAUCGUUCUCCAAUUGGGUUAAAAUUAAGGGACCAUUCUUCAGUUAAAUUAGAGUUGAGGGACCAUUGGUAAUAGAUUUUUAGUUGAGGGACUAUAACGGCUCGUUUUACGAGUUAAGAGACCAAUGCUAAUAGAUUUUUUGUUAGAGAUCAUUAUUUCAAUUAAGUUAAAGUUAAUUGACUAUUACUACAAUUUACUAUAUUUAAAAAGCAACUUAUUAAAAAAUCUGAUGAAUGGUGAACAGUAAAGUUUAAUGAAAAUUUUAUGAGGAUAGUGUUACCCUGGGUUUUUAAUUAAAAUUACAGCCAGUAUCUUCGCUUCUCCUUUCCCCUUUCUCCAUGUCGUCCUUCAAAUCGAAGGUUGGCGACCUUCAAUUACCUGGAGAAAUCAACAAUAAGCCAUAAUUCCUUCAAUUAGAGGAUGCUCUGCCUGUCUUCUGCUGACUUUUCUUUAAAUUUUGAGCUUAUAGUGCUCACAUGGGAACAUAGAGAGAGAGAGAGAGAGAGAGAGAGAGAGAGAGAGAGAGAGAGAGAGAGAGAUUGAAGUUUUUAUGGAAGGAAAGAAAUUUGAGCUUUGUGUAGGAUAGAGCAGGCGAGUGAGAUUGCAUGCGACGAAUCCGUUAGGUUUCUGACUUCAAAUGGCGCCGUUGUGGUCUGAUCCGUCCGAGUUAUGGAGAUCGGACAUUGGAGCUCCUAACUAGCGAUAAUUUGGAGCUGCAGAUCCGAUGAGAAAUUCAAAAUAUUUGGAAUGGCUAUGGGGAAACGGGAUGACACAGAGAGAUUGGGUGAUUAGGAUUGUGCCGUGGGCUGGGAGGUCGCGGCGGCGGCGGAAGGAACCCAGACCUAUGGGUAAAACAGUAAAAUUAUUAGAAAUAUUUUGAAAUUUAUGGGCUGGUAUUUGUUCAAUUAAUCUACGGGCUGCUAUGUGUUUAAUUAAUCUAUGGGCUGGUAUGUGUUUAAUUAAUAUAUGGGCGGGUGUUUGUUUAAUUAAUCCAUGGGCUGGUGUUUCAAUAUGACUUGGAUUUAACGUGAAAUUAUUAGAAAAUUUCUAUUAAACCAUUUGAUGGUUAUUACUUGCACGUAAGUGAAGACGCAGAAGAUAAACAUUGAAGAAGAUAAACAUCGAAGGAAAAAUGGAGAAGAUAAGAUUAUUAAAGAAAAAGGUUAGAUAAAUUAUCAUCCAACCUUAUGAUAUUUUUAGUCAUCUCUAUAUGGGCUUGUUUGACGGCCUGAAAGAUAUUGGACCUUAGAGAGAAAAUUAGAUUAAUAGCGAUUUGAAAGGUAAAACUUGUAACCUAUGUAUAAAGAUAAAUUAGAUAACACAUUUUAUUAUGAAUUCAUAACUCAUCAUUACAACAACAACAACAACAACAACAACAACAACAAAGCCUUUUCCCACUAAGUGGGGUCGGCUUUCAUAUAUGAAUCCUAGAACGCCAUUGCGCUCGGUUUUGUGUCAUGUUCUCCGUUAGAUCCAAGUACUCUAAGUCUUUUCUUAGAGUCUCUUCCAAAGUUUUCCUAGGUCUUCCUCUACCCCUUCGGCCCUGAACCUCUGUCCAGUAGUGACAUCUUCGAACCGGAGCGUCAGUAGGCCUUCUUUGCACAUGUCCAAAUCACCGGAACCGAUUUUCUCUCAUCUUUCCUUCAAUUUCGGCUACUCCUACUUUACCUCGGAUAUCCUCAUUCCUAAUCUUAUCCUUUCUCGUGUGCCCACACAUCCCACGAAGCAUCCUCAUCUCCGCCACACCCAUUUUGUGUACGUGUUGAUGCUUCACCGCCCAAACAUUCUGUGCCAUACAACAUCGCUGGCCUUAUUGCCGUCCUAUAAAAUUUUCCCUUGAGCUUCAGUGGCCUACGACGGUCACACAACACGCCGGAUGCACUCUUACACUUUCAUCCAUCCAGCUUGUAUUCUAUGGUUGAGAUCUCCAUCUAAUUCUCCGUUCUCUUGCAAGAUAGAUCCUAGGUAGCGAAAACGGUCGCUUUUUUGUGAUCUUCGCUAGAUUGCUCCGGUCAUUAGUGUGGAUAAGUAUAUAAAUGGAUAGAGAUAGGAAAGCAAACACAAGAUGUACGUGGUUCACCCAGAUUGGCUACGUCCACGGAAUAGAGGAGUUCUCAUUAAUUGUGAAGGGUUUACACAAGUACAUAGGUUCAAGCUCUCCUUUAGUGAGUACAAGUGAAUGAUUUAGUACAAAUGACAUUAGGAAAUAUUGUGGGAGAAUGAUCUCGUAAUCACGAAACUUCUAAGUAUCGGAGUGUGGUAUCGUCUUGACUUGCCUUAUCUGUCUCAUAGGUAGAUGUGGCAUCUUCUCUGGAAGUACUCUUCCUCCAUCCAGGGGUGGUAUCUUUAACUGGUGGAGAUGCACAAGGUAAUGUAUCAAUUUCACUUGAAGCUUACUUGUAGUUUCAGGCUUGGUCAAGCGCGAUACAAACCAUGUAGUAGGAGUCCCCCAAGUCGCCGAGCUAGGGGAUCUGCUGAAAGAGGUGACAGACAAGGUAAGCAAUCAGAGCUCCGGCUGAUUGUUCACAUUCUCCCUAUCUUGCAGGCAGCAUGAAGGAUAAAGAGAAGAAAAAUGAGAAGAGAUGAUAUGGGAUACUUUUGCUUUUGAAGAAGUAACUUUCCACAGGCUUAUUCUUGAACUGAGCUGGAGGGUUUUCUGGUUUCCUCCAGAGUAUAAGGCCGACUGAAGAAUUUGAGGGUCAAAACAAGUCCAUCAAAUCUAGAGUACGUUCGACCCUGCUGAUAUGGGAUACUUUUGCUUUUGACAGAGUAAUGGAUGUAUCGGCACGUGUGCUGUUACGCUUGUCUCCACAUGCUUCCUUGUAUCCUUCUCACUUGCCCUAUCUGUUCCUCAGGCAGAUGCGGUAUCUUCCCUGGAAGCAUAAGAUGUUGAAGAUGAGUACUCGAGAGCAAUGCCAGGUAAGUAAUCAGGUAAGGGGUUCCAGGCAGUCAGUUCCUGGCUGGAAGCUUGAUUCCAAGUGCUGACUGAAUUGCUCUCUUUCUCCUUGUCUUGCAGGUAAGAACAAGGCCAAAGGAAAAGACAGGGAAAAAGCAUGAUAUGGGAUACUCUUGCUUUUAACCCUGAUGAUAUGAGAUAUUCUUGCUCUAGUAUAGCUUGUUUGCAGAGGUAUUAUCGGGGGGAAAGAAAGCUGAAUAUUUCGAAAGGCUUCGUUGGGAGUGCCCUCUCAGAUAUGAGGAAGGGUUGAGCAUUUUUGCAGGUCUGCCUGUCCGUUGGGGAUGGAGGUCGACAUAUAUAGGAGUCUCCCUAACAACAAGUAGUAAUGCUAUUCCUUUACCCUGCUUGGUCAUAGCACGGUAGUGGGAGCUGCCAGCUUCACAUGUUUUAACUCUGUCAGAGCACUUUGAAAAAGUGGUUUGUGGUAUCUGGAAAGCUGAUGUUGCGUGUGAAGAUUACAUACAAGCUUUAUCCAAGGAGAUCCGGCUCUUGAAGUUGGGAAAAGUGUUGCCUCUUCGGUUUUCGAACAAGCAAUCCUAUCGGGAUCUGGCUCUCGAGAUUCGGAGAACGAUGCCUCUUCGAUUUUUGAGAAAGCAAUCAUGCUGGGGGUCUGGCUCUCGAGAUUCGGAGAGCAGUGUCUCUUCGAUUUUUGAGAAAGUAAUCAUGUUGGGAGUCUGGCUCUCGAGAUUCGGAGGGCGGUGCCUCUUCGAUUUUGGAGCAAGCAAUCUUGUUGGGAGUGUUUUCUCGAAUGUGAGUAAAGGUUGGGCAUGUUUGCUAGUCUACCUUGCCACGAAGCACAGAGGUUGACACACAGGGACUUUCCAAUUAUCCAGCAAUGGUACUGUUCCUUUACCCUCUCUUCGAUUUUUGAGAAAGUAGUCAUGUUGGGAGUCUGGCUCUCGAGAUUCGGAGGACGGUGCCUCUUCGAUUUUGGAGCAAGCAAUCUUGUUGGGAGUGUUUUCUCGAAUGUGAGUAAAGGUUGGGCAUGUUUGCUAGUCUACCUUGCCACGAAGCACAGAGGUUGACACACAGGGACUUUCCAAUUAUCCAGCAGUGGUACUGUUCCUUUACCCUUGUGGGUAAUAAUAUGGUAGCUAGACCUUCAAAAUUUAUGUGUCUAAACUUUGUUAGUGUUGUUUCUUUGCUAUUCUUUUACCCUUCUUGGUCAGAGCGAUGUAGUGGGAGCUGCAAGCUUCACGUGUCUCAACUUUGGCAGAGAACUUUGGCAAAGUUAUCUGUGGUACCCAUGAGCUACUGUUGCGUGUGGGAAGUGGGUGAUUGAACAGUAAGAUUCAUGUGCUUUCUACUUCACCAGAAGUCUUCGACAGAAUGCCCAUAAUUUCCGCAAAGCUGAGUGUGCGUGUGACAGGUGCUGACAAGGCUGGAAAAGUAGGUGCCUCUUCGAUUUCUGAGAUCGGCCCUCGUGGUCUCUGAGCAGCCCAGCUUUUGAGAAAGCAAGCGCCUCUUCGAUUUCUGAGAUCGGCCUUCGUGGUCUUUGAGCAGCCCAGCUUUUGAGAAAGCAAACGCCUCUUCGAUUUCUGAGAUCGACCCUCGUGGUCUCUGAGCAGCCCAGCUUUUGAGAAAGCAAACGCCUCUUCGAUUUCUGAGCAGGCGCCUCUUCGAUUUCUGAAGCUCCGUCGAGUGCAGAUUUUUUAUAGGGGCUGGCAUUAAGUUCCAAAGCACACUUGAAUCUCCACCAGUAGAAGCUCCAUUCUUGCACUUCUAAGAUCUUGAUUUGUCCGACCUCUUCUCUCUUCAACACCUUUGAAAAUGUCUGGCCCCUCCGACCGUCGUUUUGACUUGAACCUUGUUGAAGAGGCAGCCCCGCCUUCUCCAGACAACAUAUGGCGCCCAUCCUUCGUCUCCCCUACUGGUCCUCUACCGUUGGGGAUUCCGUGAUGAAGAAUGAUAUGACCGCUGCGGUGGUGGCCAGGAACCUUCUCACUCCCAAAGAUAACAGACUACUUUCCAAACGGUCUGAUGAGUUAGCUGUUAAGGAUUCUCUGGCUCUCAGUGUUCAGUGUGCAGGUUCUGUGUCUAAUAUGGCCCAACGCCUAUUUGCUCGAACCCGCCAAGUUGAAUCAUUGGCGGCUGAAGUGAUGAGUCUCAAACAGGAGAUUAGAGGGCUCAAGCAUGAGAAUAAACAGUUGCACCGGCUCGCACAUGACUAUGCUACAAACAUGAAGAGGAAGCUUGACCAGAUGAAGGAAUCUGAUGGUCAGGUUUUACUUGAUCAUCAGAGAUUUGUGGGUUUGUUCCAAAGGCAUUUAUUGCCUUCGUCUUCUGGGGCUGUACCGCGUAAUGAAGCUCCAAAUGAUCAACCUCUGAUGCCUCCUCCUUCUAGGGUUCUGUCCAGUACUGAGGCUCCGAAUGAUCCCCCUCCGGUGCCUUCUCUUUCUGGGGCUCUACCGACUGCUGAGACUUCUCCUAAGCAACCUUUGUGAAGGCUCCCUCUUGUUUGUUUAUUUUGACUCAUGUAUAUGUACAUAUUUGUAGCUUAUCGGGGAUAUCAAUAAAUAAGCUUUCCUUCAUUUCAACGUAUUGUGUUAAAUACACCAAAGCCUUCUUCGCUAAGUUCUUUGAAUUUUCUUUUGUUGAAGCUUGUAUGUUGAAGUGAGUGGAGCAUGUAGGUUGAGGUAGUGUUCCCUUAAUUUCCCGAGUGAGGAAAACUUCUCGGUUGGAGACUUGGAAAAUCCAAGUCACUGAGUGGGAUCGGCUAUAUGAAUCUUAGAACGCCAUUGUGCUCGGUCCUGUGUCAUGUCCUUCGUUAGAUCCAAGUACUCUAAGUCUUUUCUUAGAGUCUCUUCCAAAGUUUUCCUAGGUCUUCCUCUACCCCUUCGGCCCUGAACCUCUGUCCCAUAGUCGCAUCUUCUAAUCGGAGCGUCAGUAGGCCUUCUUUGCACAUGUCCAAACCACCGUAACCGAUUUUCUCUCAUCUUUCCUUCAAUUUCGGCUACUCCUACUUUACCCCGGAUAUCCUCAUUCCUAAUCUUAUCCUUUCUCGUGUGCCCACACAUCCAACGAAGCAUCCUCAUCUCCGCUACACCCAUUUUGUGUACGUGUUGAUGCUUCACCGCCCAACAUUCUGUGCCAUACAGCAUCGCCGGCCUUAUUGCCGUCCUAUAAAAUUUUCCCUUGAGCUUCAGUGGCAUACGGCGGUCACACAACACGCCGGAUGCACUCUUCCACUUCAUCCAUCCAGCUUGUAUUCUAUGGUUGAGAUCUCCAUCUAAUUCUCCGUUCUUUUGCAAGAUAGAUCCUAGGUAACGAAAACGGUCGCUCUUUGGUAUUUCUUGAUCUCCGAUCCUCACCCCUAACUCGUUUUGGCCUCCAUUUGCACUGAACUUGCACUCCAUAUAUUCUGUCUUUGAUCGGCUUAGGCGAAGACCUUUAGAUUCCAACACUUCUCUCCAAAGGUUAAGCUUUGCAUUUACCCCUUCCUGAGUUUCAUCUAUCAACACUAUAUCGUCUGCGAAAAGCAUACACCAAGGAAUAUCAUCUUGAAUAUGUCCUGUUAACUCAUCCAUUACCAACGCAAAAAGGUAAGGACUUAAGGAUGAGCCUUGAUGUAAUCCUACAGUUAUGGGAAAGCUUUCGGUUUGUCCUUCAUGAGUUCUUACGGCAGUCUUUGCUCCUUCAUACAUAUCCUUUAUAGCUUGGAUAUAUGCUACUCGUACUCCUUUCUUCUCUAAAAUCCUCCAAAGAAUGUCUCUUGGGACCCUAUCAUACGCUUUUUCCAAAUCUAUAAAGACCAUGUGUAAAUCCUUUUUCCCAUCUCUAUAUCUUUCCAUCAAUCUUCGUAAGAGAUAGAUUGCCUCCAUGGUUGAGCGCCCUGGCAUGAACCCGAAUUGGUUGUCCGAAACCCGUGUCUCUUGCCUCAAUCUAUGCUCAAUGACUCUCUCCCAGAGCUUCAUUGUAUGACUCAUUAGCUUAAUACCCCUAUAGUUCAUGCAAUUUUGUACGUCGCCCUUAUUCUUGUAGAUAGGCACCAAAGUGCUCGUUCGCCACUCAUUUGGCAUCUUCUUCGUUUUCAAAAUCCUAUUGAAAAGGUCAGUGAGCCAUGUUAUACCUGUCUCUCCCAAAACUUUCCACACUUCGAUUGGUAUAUCGUCUGGGCCUAUUGCUUUUCUAUGCUUCAUCUUCUUCAAAGCUACAAACCACUUCUUCCUUCCGGAUUCGACGAUAAAAAGAGUAGUUUCUACACUCUUCUGAGUUACUCAACUCCCCUAAAGAAGCACUCAUUUCAUGUCCUUCAUUGAAAAGAUUAUGAAAAUAACCUCUCCAUCUGUCUUUAACCGCGUUCUCUGUAGCAAGAACCUUUCCAUCCUCAUCCUUGAUGCACCUCACUUGGUUUAGGUCCCUUGUCUUCUUUUCCCUUGCUCUAGCUAGUUUAUAGAUAUCCAACUCUCCUUCUUUGGUAUCUAGUCGUUUAUACAUAUCGUCGUAAGCCGCUAACUUAGCUUCUCUCACAGCUUUCUUCGCCUCUUGCUUCGCUUUUCUAUACCUUUCACCAUUUUCAUCGGUCCUAUCCUUGUAUAAGGCUUUACAACAUUCCUUCUUAGCCUUCACCUUUGUUUGUACCUCCUCAUUCCACCACCAAGAUUCCUUUUGGUGUGGGGCAAAGCCCUUGGACUCUCCUAAUACCUCUUUUGCUACUUUUCGGAUACAACUAGCCAUGGAAUCCCACAUUUGGCUAGCUUCCCCCUCUCUAUCCCACACACACUGGGUGAUUACUUUCUCUUUGAAAAUGGCUUGUUUUUCUUCUUUUAGAUUCCACCAUCUAGUCCUUGGACACUUCCAAGUCUUGUUCUUUUGUCUCACUCUUUUGAUAUGUACAUCCAUCACCAACAAGCGAUGUUGAUUAGCCACGCUCUCUCUUGGUAUAACUUUGCAAUCCUUACAAGUUAUACGAUCCCCUUUCCUCAUUAGAAGAAAAUCUAUUUGUGUUUUUGACGACCCACUCUUGUAGGUGAUCACAUGUUCUUCUCUCUUCUUAAAGAAGGUGUUGGCUAAGAAGAGAUCAUAUGCCAUUGCAAAAUCCAAGAUAUCAUAUGUUCUUUCUCCUUAUUCUUGGACAAAAUUGCACCUAUAAAACAAAUAACAACUUAGAUCAAGGCCAAGAGUCUCACGCGCCCACGAUGAAUUUGGAGGGGGGGCUUUGGUCGAAAAACCUCCGAUGCCAAAGUUAGAAUUUUGAGGGAAAAGUGUUUUGAGAAUUUUGAGUGUUUAGCAAGAGUGAAGACUAAGGUUUUUAAAGAAAAUAAGGUAGAAUAUAUAAGGCAUGGCCGGCCCCCUUGGGAGAGAAGAUGACCAGCUUCUUGUGUGUAUUUUUGGGUUUAAUUGGUAGUUUAAUUAGACAUUAAUAGAUUAAUUAGGUAAUAAAUUCACUAAUUAGCUAAUUAACAUAAUUUAAAAGGAAUGUUUUGGGGGUUACCUUGUGGAGAAGAUAUGAUGAGGGACGGAUGAAAUAUGUUAUAAAUAAAUACCUAUUUGGGCACUUUUAACUUGAUUGAGGGAUGAUUGUCCACUGCUCACGUGUAUAAAUUCCGGUGUGCCUCAAAGAUAAUUUUGUCCUUUUAACCCAAAAAUCCACGUGUCGCCUCUUGACUAUUUUUUGCUCCACAAUCAUGUCCUGUCCACUUUACUUUUAACACAACGAACAACGAAUUAGAUUAAAGUCUAUUUUAACUAGUACAUGCUUACAUAUAUUGUGUGAACAAUUUCAUUUUAUUUUGUUUUGUAUUAUAAAGUGUUGAUUAUUUUAAAAUUUCUUGAAAAAGCUUACAUGAGGUGCUCGGAUCAGAGUCGAUCGUUUUCGAGUCGUAACCCUUUUCGGAGCAGUGGGGAAGAUGGUGGCUUGGUAGUUGUGUUGGGUGAUCUCUGCCUCUUAUGAAGCUUUUUCUAUUUUUCUAUUUUUCUAAUUUUUAUUGUUAAUUUUCUUUUUAUUUGUUUGUUAUUAAAUUUUGUGGGAUCCACAUAUGUGUCACGUUAACAUUCUAACAGAAGUUUUGACGAAAAUAUAAUGGCAAAUUGAUUUGUAACAUCCAAUUCAAAGGCUACACUGAUCGAUUUCAAUUUCAAAGGUCACCUUAAUUAGUGCGUCGAUUUCCGACUAUUUGCGUUAAAGACACAUUUUAGAAAAAUCUACUACACAAAGCAGUGGGGAAGAUGGUGGCUUGGUAGUUGUGUUGGGUGAUCUCUGCCUCUUAUGAAGCUUUUUCUAUUUUUCUAUUUUUUAUUGUUAAUUUUCUUUUUAUUUGUUUGUUAUUAAAUUUUGUGGAAUCCAGAUGUGUGUCACGUUAACAUUCUAACAGAAGUUUUAACAAAAAUAUAAUGGCAAAUUGAUUUGUAACAUCCAAUUCAAAUGCUACACUGAUCGAUUUCAAUUUCAAAGGUUACCUUAAUUAGUACAUCAAUUUCCGACUAUUUGCGUUGAAGACACAUUAUAGAAAAAUCUACUACACAACGUGUGGGGGGUGUUGAUUUGAACGCCCGGUGAAGCACGGGAAGACCAAAACAUGUAGCCAGAAAAUUCGGUGUCUCGCCUUCCCAACUCGCUCGACCUAUAUAUGUGUGCUGAAACACAGAGUCGAAAACAAACAACGCACGACAUUCUCCGUUUCUCAUCAAACUAGAUUAUUUUACGUUCUCUCUGCAAAGCGUUGGAAUUUCUGUUCUUCUUUCAUCACCCAAGAACAGAUUACGUAAUUGAAUUAAGUUUUGAGUCUCAUUGUUUCCGUAAAUUAUGUCUCUGGUUUCGGUCGGAAUGGGUGCUCUGAGAACGUCAUUUCAAAUGCUGUUUGAUGCUGUAAAAUCAGCGCAGGAGGAGAAUACAAUGUUCCAACACCUACUCGGAAACAUCAAAUCCACACUGGAAUCUCUACAACCACUUAUCAAAGACAUCGAAAAGUAUAACUCCAAGGAGGGGCGGGAAAAUUAUGCAAUACAGAUGGAGGAAGGAGCAAAGCUUGUUCAAAAGUGCAGCAAAGUUGGCGUGUGGAGAAAACACACAUACACCAAGAAGCUUAAUCAACUGGACAAAUCUCUUCGAAGAGUGUUUGAUGUGCUUAAACUGCAGGUUAUGAGGGAUGCGAGGGAGACGUUGGUUCCUUUGAGGAAUAUCGAGACGGUGCUCUCUCGAAUAGAAGAGAGAUUGAAGAUAAAAAAUAACCAGCCUGAAAUGGUUAAAUGUUCGUCUGCGGUGCCUGAAGCGCCAUCGGUUACAGUCGGGUUGGAUUUGCCGUUGAAGGAGUUGAAGGUGAAGCUCCUUAAGGAUGAAAAGGUGUCUAUGCUUGUGCUGACCGCUGCUGGAGGAUGCGGGAAAACCACCUUGGCUAAAAUGUUUUGUCAAGAUCAAGAAGUCAAAGGUAUACUAUUUAUGAUUUCAACCAUACACAGUAACCAAAAUUUGUUAAAAGAAAAACAACGAAGGGGACAUGAAACUAAAGCGCACGAAAGGAAUAUAAGAAAGAUUAGAAAGACCUAUAUUCUCUGUACUAAAGUUAAGCUGAUGCCUUCCUUUUAUUAACACCUUUCCUACAUUCUGUUUGAAUAGAUACAUUCAAGAACAACAUCUUCUUUGUCAAUGUCUCGAAAAAACCCAACUUGGACCUUAUUGUACACGAACUAUAUCAACGGAAGGGGUCCGAGCUGCCUGCUUUCGAAAACGAAGACAUGGCAGCUAACUGGUUGCAACAAUUUCUGAUGGAAUCAAGACAAAAUCCUCUACUGUUUGUCCUGGAUGAUGUUUGGUCAGGAUCAGAGUCCCUUCUUGAGAAGUUUGAUCAAUUCAAGUUUUCAAAUUACAAGAUUUUGGUCACAUCAAGAUUUGCAUUUCCAAGAUUCGGUUCUCCUUAUCAUUUGGCACCAUUGAAUGAUGAAGAUGCAAUGGCUCUUUUUCACUAUUCUGCAUCCUUGGAAGAUAAGAGCUCUUAUACUUACGAAGAUCUUUCGAGAAAGGUGAUUUCUUAGUCCACAAUACACACACACACACACACACAUAUAUAUAUAUGCUUAUUUAUGCCUCAGAAGAAGGUAAAGAAAUAACAUUUGAGCAUCCACACACGUUAAUGAACUGUGAAGAAUGAGGUAAGAAGAAUGAAUGACUAGACAGUUUACAAUUUUAUCAUCUUUAUGAAACCAUUUAGAUGAUUUUCAACAAUUUAAUCAAAUAAUAAUAAUUGAGUUCAUUUUGGAUAAUGAUAUUGCAGAUUAUCAAGCGCUGUAAGGGAUGCCCACUUGCCAUUGCAUUGGUUGGGAGAUCACUUCGCGGCCAGCCUAUAGAAAUCUGGCAGAAAAGAGUAGUGGAAUGGUGCAAAGGUUCAUCUAUUCUUGAUUCUGACAAGGAUUUACUUGCUUGCCUCCAAAGCAGCUUAGAUGCCUUGGAUAAGGAGAAGGUUAUCAUCAAGGAAUGUUUCCUCGAUCUAGGUUCUUUUCCGGAGGACCAAAGAAUUGCUGCUGCCGCUCUCAUUGAUAUGUGGGCGCAGUUAUAUGGUCUAGAUGAAGAAAUUCUGACCAUUGCCAACCUUCACGAGCUCACCGCUCGAAGUUUAGCUAAUCUUGUUGUCACAAGGUAUGCAGGCUGCUCAUAAGUUUUUCUAUUUAAUUAUGUAUGCCGAACAAAUCAUUAAAGAAAAUAGUAUUGAUCAUCCAGACAUGAGAGGGAGACAGAUGGCUAUUACACUGAACACUUUGUCACCCAGCACGACAUGCUUAGAGAGUUGGCGAUCCAUCAGGCGAGUCAAGACCCAAUAGAACAUAGGAAACGACUAUUUAUAAACAUAUGUGGGGUCAAACUUCCUAAGUGGUUGACAGAACAAAAGUAUAAAGCGAUCAAGGCUCGACUAUUAUCUAUCUCAACAGGUUCCAUCAAUCUCUCCUUAGUUAAUACUUAAUACAUGUGCACUCGGGACACACGUGUGCACACACACACACACACAUUUAGGACUUCCACACAUUUAGGCUAAUAUCUUGAAGCUUAUUGUUUGCAGAUGGAGCCUUCUCAGCAAAAUGGCCAAACAUGCAAGUACCCGAAGCAGAGGUUCUAGUUCUGAAUUUUCAAACAAAGAACUAUGCCUUACCUGAGUUUGUGGAGAAAAUGGAUAAACUAAAAGUUCUAAUACUAAAUAAUUAUGGUUUGUUACCUGCUGAACUAGAUAAUUUUGAACUACUUGGUUCGCUAUCAAAUCUUAAGAGAAUUAGAUUAGAACAUAUUUCAGUUCCUUCCAUAAGCAAGGUCCUCAAACAGUUGAAAAGUUUGCAAAAGAUAUCUUUUUUCAUGUGUGAUAUCGGCCAAGGUUUCGUCCAAAUUUUAGAUGCACUGCCAAAUCUAGUGGAAUUAAACAUUGAUUAUUGCCAUGAUCUGGUGCAACUUCCUGCCAACCUAUGUGACCUUGUUCACCUUAAGAAGCUUAGCAUCACCAACUGUCAUAAGCUAUCUGCCUUGCCUGCAGACAUUGGAAAGCUAGUCAAUCUAGAAGUGUUGAGGCUUAGGUCAUGUGCAGACUUGUUAGAGUUGCCAGGCUCGAUUAGGAACCUUGAAGUUUUGAAAUUUCUCGACAUAUCCGAUUGCUUUAGCAUAAAGGAGUUGCCCGAGGACAUUGGUGCAAUGUGCAGCAUGGAAAAGAUCAACGUGAGCCAGUGUUCAAGACUGAGAGAGCUGCCUGCUUCUGUUAUGGAUCUUGAGCAGUUGAACGAAGUGAUAUGCGACGAGGAGACGAAAACCUUAUGGGAACCCUUCUCGCCAUUUCUCACAAACAUGAGCGUAAAGGUGAUCAAAGAAGAUAUCAACCUAAAUUGGCUCAACAAGCUUCCAUCCUAAGGCUAUGGUCCUUCCAUCAAUGAGUGUUGGUGCAAUGUAUGCAGUAUGAUUGUGUUUAAUGUUAUUUUUCCUUUGUAAUUUACUUCUAUUUUAUGUUUUAUGUGUUUUUAAAUAACAUGGCAGCACUGUAAAUUAUUGUAAUUAUUCACCAUGGCUGUUAUUGUAAAUAACAUGUUUGCACUCCUCAUUGUUCAAUUCUUCAUUGAUUCUCUUUGAUUUAUCCAAUCAAUGGGUGUUUGUGCAAUGUAUGCAGGGAUAAAGGCAAGGAAAGAAAAUAAGGAAAAUUAAUUAAAAGGACUUGAAAACUUUGAGUUUUAACGAAAAUGACAAAAUAAAUGGGAAAAUGAAUAGUACCAUGAUUGACUUUUUAGUGUAAAAAUAUGGUUUUUUGUUAAAAUGAACAGUAUCGGAAGUUUUUUGUUAAAAUUCCCAAGAAAAUAAGAGUUAAAAAAUAACUGGCCUUUGAUUUAUUCAAUCAAUGUAUUAACUCUAUUGGUUGUUUCUCCGCUCUCUCUCUCUUGUUGAACCUCUUCAUCCCCUUUCAGUUAAAUAGGUCAUAACAUUACUGUUUUAUUUUAAGGGUAAUGCUAAGGAUAUUAAAUUUGUAGACAAAAUUUUGCAAAUUAAGUGACAUAGAAGUUGAUAAUUAGAUUAUGAUGUGCUUAAUCCUAUUGGUAACAUAUUAUUUAGUUUGCAAAUUUUGUCCCCAUAACAUUACUCGUAUUUAAAACUAUUUAUUCAAGAGCACAACAUUUUUUUUACUAUUUUAUUUUAAACUAUUUAUGCUACAGCACAACAUUUUAAAAGUAGUUCAAUACCAAAUCAUAUGUACUAGAAAAUUAUAUAUCUCCUCGUCUCCUAACAGCGUGUCAAAUGUCUUUCCCAGCUCGUUCGUUUUCUUUGGGUGAAAUUCAUUGCUUGUUCGUUAAGUUGUAUAUAUGUGUGCUGAAACCAACAAACAACUUACAUAUCAUUCUCACUUGCUCAUCAAACUAGAUUAACAAAGAGGAUUAAGGGUCAGUUUGGGAUUGCUAUGUUUUUAAAAAAACUAAUUAUGUUAUGUUUUAUGAAUAAUCAGUUGUAAAAUAAAGCCGAUGACCGUUUGGUUAAUUGAAUUUUAAAAGUCCUAUGAAUAUGAAAAGCAGCGCAAAAGCGUUUGGUAAAAUUUAAUGUAAAAGUGAUAUAAUUGUACACAAUGAUAGAUGGACAUAGUAGUAGGAAUGGGGGCAACGACAGCAGUGGUAGUAAUGGAGGUGGUGGUUGCAGUGGAGGAAGUGAUGGUGGUGCUAAUAGUGGGAUGUGUUGGUUGAGGUGGAAAGGUAACACAGGUGGUAAGGCGUGGUGGUGCUAAUAGUGGGCUGUGUUGGUUGAGGUGGAAAGGUAACACCGGUGGUAAGGUGGUGGCAGUGGUCAUGAUGGCAAUGGUGGCAGUUGGAGUUAUGUUAGUGUCGACAAUGAUAACAAUGAUGGUGGUAAUGAUAGUUGUGGUUGUGAUGGCAAUGGUGGUAGUUGUGGUAAUGGUGGUGGUGAUGGUGUUGGCGAUAACAGCAUCGAUGGUGGUAGUAGUGGUGGUGGCAAUGGCGGCAGUGCGGUGAUGGUAGUGAUGGUGGUGACAAUGAUGGUAGUGAUGACAGUGGUGGAGGUUGUGGUUAUGGCGGUGGUGGUGGUGGUGACAAAAAUGAUGGUUGCAAUGACGAUGAUGGUGUAAGGUUAGUAUUUGGAGUGGUAGGUGGUAGUCUUUACUUUAUUCUCUAAGGAAUAGAGGAACAGAAUGUGUGUGGAAGGCUAAACAAUGUCAUUUAAAAAAAAUUAAUGAAGGUAUUACAGCAAUUAAAAAUACUUAUUAUAGACCUUUCUUUUUACUAAAGCAGCUUUUAAAAGCAACUUGCAGGCUGCUUUUAAAAGCUAUUGUCUGGAGCCCAUUGUUUAGAGUCUCUUUGUUUUGGUAAGUAUGUCUCUGGCUUCAAUCAGAAUGGGUGCUCUCAGAACGGCAUUUAAAAUGUUGUUUGAUGCUGUAAAAUUAGCGUAGGAGGAGAAUAAAAGGUUCCAACACCUCUCCCGAGACAUCAAGUUCACACUCGACUCUGUACAACCACUCAUCAAAGACAUCGAGAAACGUAUAACUCGAAAGAGGGACUGCAAAAUUUUGCAAUACAGAGGGAGGAGGGAGCAAGCUUUCAACAAUUGUUACAUCUCAAUCUCAUUGGCAUUUCUGAAUCUAGAAGAAAUGUACAUCGACUAUUGCAGUGAUUUAAUAGAGUUGCUUACCAAGAUUUGUAAUCUUAGUAAAUUAAAGAAGCUUAGCGUCACUAACUGUUACAUCUCAAUCUCAUUGGUAUUCCUGAAUCUAGAAGAAAUGUAAAUCGACUAUUGCAGUGAUUUAAUAGAGUUGCCUUCCUCUCCCUUUCAUUGUUUUCACUUUCUUCUUCCUCCUCCGACAUACACACACGGACGACAACGGCAACACCACCAUUUGUGUGGCCGUGAAAUCCUUAAUCCAAAACCCUAAAAAAUCAAGAACCUUCCUCACCGCCACUGCCCUCGCUUCGCUUCUCGCUGUCUCCAAUCCAGCCUAUCUUCAUCUCGCUGUCUCCAAGUUGUAUACUUUGAAGGAGGAGAAAUUGAAGAUGGAUAACGGAGGCAGCGACUCAAUCCUCUUCUUCUCGCUGUUUUCAGUCCAACCUCUUUUCCUUCCACAAGCAGCGACUCAAGGUUAUCUUCUCCACCUCCUCCUCGUUUUCUUUUUUCUGAAUUGAAACAAAUUCAAAGUUGUAAACUUUGAAGAAGGAGAAAUUGAAUUGUUGUUGUUCUUUUUGUCUACAGAUUCUUGAAGUAGCAGAGGAAAAAUGAGAGUUUUAUGUUUUUGUUUGUUUGUUUGUUUUUUUUUUUUUUUUUUUGCAAUUAUCAGUUUUGGCUGUGGUAGUCUAGUGGGUUUCUGGGUUUCUGUGUUUCCAUUUCUAUUGCAGAUCAGCAAAGCCAUUUCUGGUGGGUUUCUGGGUUUUGUGGAGAUCGGCAAAGGAGCACUGUUUCUUGUUUGAGGGUGUUAUUGGACUUUAGAAAGUUUCAUUAAAGGAGCACUGUAGCUCUGCGUGCUUUGAAAAAAAGCCAGUUUUCCAAAGCAGCAUUUUAGGUGCUUCAGCUUUUCUGAUGAUUUCAGCUUAUUCAAUCCAUUUUUUUUGAGUUUACCAAACACCUUCAACAUAAAAACUUUGAAAAUAAGCAACUUUUUUUUAAGCACCUCAAUGCCAAACCAUACGUAACUGUCAUAAGCUAUCUGCCUUAGCUGAAGGGAUUGGAAAGUCGGAAAAUUUAGAAAUGUUGAGGCUAAGAUCCUACACAGAACUGUUAAAGUUUCCAACCACGAUGAAGAACCUUGGAAAGGUAAAAUUUCUCGACAUAUAUGUUUGCUUCAGCAUCAAGAUGUUGCCUAAAGACAUAGUUGAAAUGGGUAGUUUAAAGAAGAUCAACAUGAGACAAUGCUCAAGGUUGCAAGAGCUGCCUCCAUCAGUCAUGGAUCUUAAGCAGUUAAAGGAAGUUGUCUGUGAUGAAGAGACAAAAUACUUAUGGGAAUCUCUCAUUGUGUCUCAACAACGUAAGGAUAAUUAUAUCAACCUAAAUUGGAUCCACAAGACUCAGUUCUGAUACUUGUGUUUCCUCGGUGAACGUGGGCUUCAUAAAUAGUAGUGUGGGAUAUUGCACGGUAUAAUCAUUUGUUGUUAAAUGAGCACUAUUUUGACAACCUUAAGAAAUUUUCUAAACUAGUGAAAUGUGAAGGGAAAUUUAAUAUCUGAGCAAUAAGUUUAAUGUGAAAGUUGUUUUAUCAGAGGGAAAAUGUGGUUUGUGUUUUUAAUGGGACUUCUUAAACUCUACUCUAACAUAGUUUCACAAUCAAUCCCUAUACGCAGUUUCUUAACCUUUUGGUUUGAAAAUUUGUAUGUAUAGUUCAACACCAUAGUGUGAUUAUGCUUCCCAAAAUACGUUUUAUAAGUAAAGGAACCAAAAAGAAAAGGUUGAAGAGUCUCCAUAAGACAAGAACUUUUAUGUCACAGGGUCAGGUAUUAAUCUCAUCGUCAGUAAGUUUCUCAAGUAUCUAUAUUCACAUUUGUUAGUCAAGUUUUCAGAAUUGUGUUCGCAUAUAAUCUGAGUUCAUUGCCAAAUGUAGUGGAAUUGAUUGUUAUUGACUAUUUGCGAUGAAUUGGUCUCAUACUAUAGUUCAACACCACCAUCUGAUUCAUGCUCUCCAAAAUAAAUUUUAUAAGUAAAAGGAACAAAAAAGAAAAGGUUGAAGAUUCUCCAUAAGAUAAGAACUUUUAUGCCAUGGUGUCAGGUGUUAAUCUCGUCCUCGAUAAGUUUUUCUAGUAUCUAUACUCACGUCUAUUGGUCAAGUUUCCAGAACAUGUGUUCACAUAUAAUUUGGAUUCAUUACCAAAUCUAGAAGAAUUGAUUGUUGUUGACUAUUGCAAUGAAUUGGUCUCAAACUAUGUUUUCCAACCAGCACAGAUUGAUCAGCUUUUUUUUUUUUUUUUUUUUUUUAAUAAAAAAAAGUUGUUUGAUUAGUCUCGUUCAAUACCGUUACGUGAUCAGCUUAAACUUAGUGGAAAUUAGGUUCACAUCCUUCUUUUUGUUACUCCAUUGAUUAAAAUCCUAUUCAUUUUCAAUUUUUGAUCAAGGUCCUUGGGUAUUAAUUACAUCAUUAAUUAUUUGAAUAAUAAAAUAUUUUUAUUUUUAAAUAUAUUCCUUUAGUGUUAAAAAUGUUACAUUUAGUAUAUUUAUAUUUAUGGUUAAAAAUUUUACCAUAUAUUUUUAUUUUUAGUUUGUACCUAUUUUUAAUUUGCAAAUAUUUUUUAAUGUACCAAUUUUCUUUUCAUUUUUAAUUUGUACCCAUAUAUUAGUUUCUUUUUGUGCCCAUAUUUUUAAAAUUUUUAUUUGUGUUUGGAUUCAUGUGUAUACCGUCACGUGACAUUGUAUAUUUAAUCAAUGAUAGAAAAAUUACAUAUGGUAUAUUUAUGUUUUAUGCCUAAACUUUGUAUCAUAUAUUUAUAUUUUUAGUUUGUACCCACUUUUAAUUUGCAACAUUUUUUUUUUAAAUUUGUAGUAUUUUCUUUUUAGUUUUAUUUUGUACCCAUGUAUUAAUUUCUUUUAGCGCCUAUAUUUUUUUUAAAACUUCAUUUGUACUCAUAAUUUUCUAAUCUUUUAUCUGUACCCUAAUUUAUUUAUAAUGUAUCCAUUCUUCUUUAUUAAUGUACCACUUUGUUAUAUGUGAAAUGUACCAAUUUUUUUAACACUAUUGAUAGAUUCUUUUGCCAUUUAUUAUUUCUUAUUUUAACAUAGUUUUUAUCCAUUUAUUCAAUCAAAAUGUUUGAAUUUUUUUAUUGUAACUGUUUCUAAUAGUAUUAUAAUGAGGGAUUUUAAAUUUAUAGGAUUAUAAAUCUCAUAAAAUAUCAAACAAUUAAUGUCAAAACUAUAAAAAUAUAAAUAUUAAUAGUAAUAUAAUGAGGUGUACAAAGUCAAGGGACUUUGAUCAAACUUUGAAUACUAUUAAAGUUUUAAUCAAAGAAUGUUAAGGAUUAGAGACCGCAUCCAAAAUAUCUCAAAAUAUUUUUCUUGUUCAAAAUUUUAAUAGUUAAACUAAUAAAGAACGGGCCAUAUUUUCUUUCUUUUAAAAGUUGUUCACAUAGAAGUGGUCAUUGACAAAGUAGAUAAUGAAUAAACAUUGUAAUUUGGAUGAAAAUACACAAAUUCAAUACUUUAAUUAGAUUUAUAUACUUUAAAUGAAAAUAAACAAGUUUAAUAUUCUUAGAGAAGGGCACAAUAGAAAUUUCACAACUAAGAAUUGAUUAUAGCAUGCCAAUACUUAAAAAGCUGACUUGGCUUUGUAAUGGGAAGGGUACAAAGAAAUUUCACAGCUAAAAAUUAAUUAGAUCAUGACAAUGAGGUAGAUGAGGGGGUUCUUUACUCCAAAUGAACUCUUGAAGUAUUUUUAUAGAGAACUUAUAGUUUUGAAACAAAUAAUUGUACAUUAGAAAAAGAUAGCUCAUAUUUUCAUUGAAAAAGAGAGCUGAUUUUUAUUAAUUAACAUUGAAGUUUUUGCCUAUUAAAAAAAUGUGGGUCUUAUUUUUUAAUAGAGGUAGGACCCACCAACACAUAUUAGUCUCAUCUCUAAUAACAUUUUUUUGCAAAAAUUAUUCACUGCUUCCUAAUAAAGUAAACAAGGUCAAAAGGAGGACAAAUUGGUUUUCUUUUAGCACUAAUACUCUUUUAGAAACUAUGUAUUUGAUUGUAUGAACAAUAAAGUCAUUGUACAAUUUAAAUUUAAAACUCAUAAAGAAAAUUAUACAAGGCAUAAAAAAUUUAUUAAUCAACAUUGAAACUUUUGUGCAUAUUCUAUGAAAACACAAGGAAAUUAUACUAUGAUCUCCUCACAAGAAAUUCUGAACUCUUUCGUUUUUCAUGAACUUGUGAUACACGGUAAAGGGGAUGAAUUCUUCAAUGAAAUAUUGAUACACAAAUGAGACCUAUUCAUAAGUUUAUUGAAAAUAAUGAAGCGCAUAGGAGUACUCCAGCCCAUAAUACAAUUUUCUUGUGUUUUCAUAGCAUAUGCACCCAAAAUAUAAUGUUGAAAAAUAAGUAUUAUUUUUUAUGUAUAUAAAUAUAAUAUUUUCUCAUCUUCUAGUACAAGUUUUGUGCAUAUUCUACAAACCCAAAAAUAAAUUAAAAAUCAACAUCUUAGCAAUAUUUUCUCAAAAAAAAAAUAAAAAAUUGCUCGGUAAACAAAUAUAUUUUUCCACACUAAAUUUCGCAAAUAUCCUAUGAAAAUAUAAGGAAAUUAUACUAUGGUCUCAUCUAAAAAAAAAUUCCAAAAAUUCUCAGCUCUAAACUUAUAAUUCAUGCAAACGGGAUCAAUUUAUCAAAGGACUUAUGAUACACGUAAAUGAGGUCAAUUCAUAAGUCCAUUGACCAUGACAUAUCAUGUGAAUGGGAAUAGAGAAGCAUACGAGUUUCUUAUGUGUUCAUGGCAUGUGCACAAAAUGUUUUAUUGGUGUUGAAAAUUGUGUAUGUAUAUCAGCAUAUUUUCUCAUCUUGUAGUAUGCUAAAGGAGUAGAUCGCAACAUCUUCAUAAUAAAUUCUCUACCUAGCUUACUCUAGGCUUAUGAAUUCACUCGCAACAAAAUUUGAACUGAAAAAAAAAAGUGACUUUCUUUUAGCACUAAUAAUAGUUUUUUUUUUUUUUGAAUAAACGAUAUUAUAUACCCUAAGAGGGUGGGGAGUGAGCUAAACCUCACAAUGGCUAGCAAUAAUGUGGUUCAAAGUGGUUCAAUGUGGUUCAAAUUUGUCUUUUGUGGAAAUCGAACUUAAGACUUCUCACUUACAAGUGAAAAGAAACACCACUAGACCAUAGUAUUAAGUGGCCUAAUAAUAGUUCUUUGAAAAACUAUAUAUUUGAUUGCAUAAACAAUAAAGUCAUUGUAUAAUUUAUAUUUAAAUUAAAACUCAUAAAGAAAAUUAUAAUUGUCAAGCCCUGAUCCCGACAUAUGUCCAAGAUCGACACAUGAUGUCAGCUCAUCCCUAUUUAUUUAUCAUCUCAUCUCCGAGACAAGUCCAAAACCCAAUCAAUGAUUCAACCAAGCAGUGACUUUCCUUUAUUUCAUGGCUGAAUCUAACAUUUGCAUUAGACUGCCUAUGUACCCUAAAUAGGGAUCAAGCCAUUCAUAGUUCACCAUUCACUACACUCCAAUGUUUAUCACAGUACGUUCUAACAAAAAGGCAUAGCAUCCCUCAAUCAAUUAUUAAAACUUGACAAGCAUGAAAUUACUAGAUUUAGGGCUACAUAAUAAACCCACAUGACAAUCAAGAUUUCCACAUCAUCCAUCAUAUAAAUCACUAUGUUUCAACAUAAUAUUGCAAUUCAUAGCAUGCAACAUCUCAAAGAACAAUCAACGAAGCGUAAUAUUAUUCUCUAGCCACAUUGGUCAACGAGUCUAACCAUAAUAAUAACAAUCAUAUCCAACAUCAUUCCACAAUCACUCCAAUUAAUCAAUUCCAUGAAUCAAAGAAGCACGAUAUUAACAUUUAACUACGUUCAUCAAUCAAUACGAUCACAUAUUAAUUCACAAAAUUUAAUAAAGGAAUCCUACAUAAUUUCCUACCUGGAUUCCAAGUAAUAACAUGAUAAAUCUAAUUUAUAAACACAAUGUCUACUGUGAGCAAUUCCUAUUCACUCGAAUCUAGGGGCCGGAAAUGAGCAAGAAUAGGGAUUAUGGACAGUCACCGGAAUCUAACUAAAUUAUGGUUGCCUAUCGAACUGUACUGAGUACAACUAAUCCUCAUCACCCCUAGAAUGCAUAUGGUCCCCUAUUGCGAAUAUACCAAGCAGAACCAUAGGCAUAAUCUAAGCAUGCAUGCAGUGAUCACCCAUCGAGGAUAUACCAAGCAUGAUCACCCUUGAAAUACGUAUGGUCCCAUAUCACAGAUAUAACAAGUAGGGCAAUAUCCUAUAGCUUUAGGUUGUGAUCACCCAUCGCGGAUAUACCAAGCAUGGUCACUCCUAGAAUGCGUAUGGUCCCCCCAUUAUGGAUAAACCAAGCAGAACCAUAUGCAUAGUCUAAUAAUGUAGGCAGUGAUCACCCAUCGUGGAUAUACCAGGCAUGAUCACUCCUAGAAUGUAUAUGGUCCCUCAUUGCAGAUAAACCAAGCAGAACCAUAAACAUAGUCUAAUAGUGCAUGUGGUGAUCACCCAUCGCAGAUAUACCAAACAUGAUCACUCCUGAAAUACGUAUGGUCCCCUAUUGUGGAUAUACCAAGCAGAACCAUCCUAACCACUGCUACAUGGUGCAGUCAUAUCAAUACACAAUAAUUACCAAAUUAAUAUGAAUCAUAAUUCCUAGCAUACACACCAUCAAUCCGAUAAGACAACGAUCAUUGAAUCACAUCGUACACAUUCUAUAACAUGUGUCAUUUCAUCAUGAAUCACAAUUUCAAUUGUACAUGCUAUCAAUUCCACUUAACUAACCAGUCUCCAAUUAUCCAUACAAAUGAGUUCUACGGAAUAGUUCUAACGAGGUUCCAACUCAUAUUUUCAUACAAUAUAUAUAUGAUAGAAAAGUAAUAUUUUAAUAUAAAACACAUUUAUAAAACCAUGCCAUAUCCAUUAAAUAUACUAGCAAGGGAAUUUUUAGGGUAAUCAUUGAUACCACAUGAUUAGAACAUUAGUCCUUGCCAAAAAAAAAAAAAAAAAAAAAAAAAAACCUAACCCUAGAUUACAUAUUCAAUUUAAUCUCUUGAAGUGUACUUUUAUCAAAAUUUAUAUUCAAUUUUUGUUAUUUAAUGUGUAUUUUUAUUUAAUCUCUCUACAUUAAAUUUUAAUUUUAUUAAUGCACAUAUUUAGUCCUUUAAUUAUAAAUGAACACAAAUGAGAAAAUAUUUAAAAAAAGUUGCGAUACAAAAAUAUAUAAAUACAUAAGUGUACAGAAAUGACUGUGCAGAAAUAUAUAAAAUUAACUUUUUUUGCACCGAAAUAUUUGUACCUGCAUGAUUGUACCGAAAUAUAUUAUAAUGAAUCUAAAUGUAUGUACCAAAAUGUAUUAUAUAGAAUUAAUGUACCAAAAUGUCAAUACCGAAAUGUAUGUACCAAAAUGUACAUACCAAAAUGUAUAUGUGAACACGGAAAAUUCCUGAAACGAAAGAGACAAGAACGACGUGCACAAACAAAAUAUUUGUAUUUUUGAAGAUUUUGGGUUACAAUCUCUCUCUAUUUUGAUCCUCUGAUUCGAUCUCCGUAAGGUGUUGAUUGAUGGAUGUUUUGUUGAUCCAAGGGUCGUUGAUGCUUAAUCUUGGAUGAACUGUUGGAAGUUUCUUCAAAGGGCCGUGGGCUUGAUCUUUAAGGUGGAUUUGAGCGGAUCUUCAAGGAGCCGUUGGGGCUUGAUCUUGAAGAACAGUGAUGAACGGAUCUUCAAGGGGUUUUGGGCUUGAUCUUGAAGAACAGUGAUGAACGGAUCUUCAAGGGCUUUUGGGCUUAAUCUUGAAGAACGGUUGGAUGUGUGUGGAUUUGUCGAUGUUUGUUGAUCCAAAGGGCCGUUGGGGCUUGAUCUUGGAUGAACGGAUGAUGAACGAUGGUGCUUUCUUCAAGGGCCGUCGGGGCUUGAUCUUGAAUUGGUGGAAGUUCUUCAAGGGCCGUUGGGGCUUGAUCUUGAAUUGGUGGAUGAUUGUUGAUCCAAAGGGCCGUUGGGGCUUGAUCUUAGGAUGAACGAUGAACGAAGAACGCUUUCUUGAUUCUUCGGGAACCUGGAUGCUUGAGAGCUUCGGAGUUUCAGAGCUUCAGGGCUUCAAGGUGUAAUCUCAAUUGGUCCCCCCAUUUGGAAUGAAAUAGCCUUCUAUUUAUAGAAAUUUCCAAGGCCUAAUUUUGAAUAUAAUAUUCCAGAUGAAAUAAGUCGUUUCUGCCAGGUGUUGACACGUGUCCUAUUUGAUGACUUUUCCAACUCAUUUCAAUUUUCAUUGAGUCACACGCUACGUGUAAAAUUUAUGUAAUACAUGAGCGUUGACACACUUUGAUUUAUCGGUCAACAUUUAUUUACCGAAAUUUCGAUGUCUACAAAUGCCCCCACUUCAAGGCACGUCGUAUACAUGUGCUUGUCACGUGUAGGAGAUGCGUUUUGAAGUCCCUUACUGUAGAUGUCGAUCCAAGGGCCGUCGAGGCUUGAUCUUGAAUUGGGCUGGAGAUUUCUUCAAGGGCCGUUGAGGCUUGAUCUUGAAUUGGGCUUGAGAUUUCUUCAAGGGCCGUUGAGGCUUGUUCUUGAAUUUUUGUUUGAAAUUUCUUCAAGGGCCGUCGAGACUUGAUCUUGAAGGUUGAAAUUGGACCACAAGGAGCUUCAUGUGGUAGAUGAUCUUUGGCUUUGGUAGUGGGUGAAUCGGCACAUAUUUUGUUGCGCUUGUUGACUUUCCACAGCUUUGAUCUUGAACUGGGUUGAAGGAUUUUCUGGAUUCCUCCAAUUGUUGAUUUUCCACAGCUUAUUCUUGAACUAGGUUUUGAUUCAAGGGUGGUAGACACUUAAUCUUGAAUCGGACUUGUAAUUUCCUCAAAAGCCGUCGAGGCUUGAUUUUGAAUUUGGCUGGAAGCUUCUUCAAGGGCCGUUGAGGCUUGAUUCUUGAAGGCUGACUCGAACACAUGGCAAGAAGGCACGAGGUGAAGGUGACGACUUGUUGCUUUGUUCAAUCUUUCUAAUUCACACCUGAGCAGUUUGGUCAACGGUAUGAUCUUCAAGAUUGAUGGGCUCUUCUUCCAGUUGGUGACUUGAUCUUUAAGGAUUUGAUUCAAGGGUGGUGAAUCGGCACGUGCAGCCCACAACGCCUAGUAAGUCGACCCAAGAAUUUGAGGGUCAAAACGAGUUCUUCAUCUCAGACUCUUUCUGCCGAGUUGACUGUGCAUGCUGCAUUCUUCUCUGCUUGUUUCUUCAGGCAGAUAUGGCAGCUUCUCGAGUUCUUCAGCUCGGACUCCUUCUGCUGAGUUGACUGUGCAGACUGCAUUCUUCUCUGCUUGUUCCUUCUGCACCUUGUCUCCACAUGCUGCAAGGUAUCAUUUUCACUUGCCUUAUCUGUUCUCCAGGCAGAUGUGGCAGCUUCUUUGGAAGUACAACAGCAGUGGGAAACGAGUACUCGAGAGCAGUGCUAGGUAGGCAAUCAGGGAAGGGUUCCAAGCAGUCGGUUCCUUACCCGAGUUUGAGUGGAAGUUCCGGCAUAUUGUUUUCUUUAUCCUUGUCUUUGUAGGUAAGAACAAGGACAAAGGAAAGGACAGGGAGAACGCAUGAUAUGAGAUAUACUCUUGCUUUCUACCCUGGUGAUAUGAGAUACUUUUGCUUUGGAGUCAUUGGCUUGCAGAGGUACCCCAAGGAAUAAGGAACAUUGAAUGACUCGAGAGGCUUCGUUGGGAAAGCAUUUUUUUGGAGAUGAAGAAAGGCUCUGUAUGUCUGCCUUGCUAUGGAAGGCGAAGGUAGACAAUUAUAGGAAGUUCUUUGAUACCUGUAGAGGUACUAUUCUUUCACUCGUGUCGGCAACCAAUGCGUGAUCGAUCUAUAUGGCUUCACAUGCUUUCUUCUUUAUCAGAAAUCUUUGACAAAUUGUCCGUAAUUUCCGCCAAGCUAAGUGUGCAUGUGACAGGUGUUGACGCGGCUGAAAAAGACUGACGCCUCUUCGAUAACUGGGAUCGGCGCUUCGACAAAUUACCCGUGAUUUCCGCAAAGCUGAGUUUGCGUGUGAUGGGUGCUGACGUGGCUGAAAAAGACUGGCGCCUCUUCGAUAUCUGGGAUCUGCGCUUCGACAAAUUGCCCGUGAUUUUCGCAAAGCUGAGUUUACAUGUGACGGGUGCCGACGCGUCUGGAAAAGCAAGAUGCUUCUCCGAUUUCUGAGCUUGCCUCUUCGAUUUUUGAAUGGCCUCUUCGUAUUCUGAGCUCGCCUCUUCAAUCUCUGAAAUCCCGUCGAGUGCUGAUUUUUUUUUAGAGGCACGCUGUUCGUUUCAAAGCACACUUGAAUUUUACUUGUGAAAACUCCCUUCUUGCACUUCUAAGAUCUUGAUUCGUCCGACCUCUUCUUUCUUCAACACUUUGAAAAUCUCUGGUCCAUCUGACCGUCGUUUUGAUUUGAACCUUGGUGAAGGGGCAGUCCCUUCUUCUCCAGACAACAUAUGGCGCUCAUCCUUCAUAUCCCCUACUGGUCCUCUUACCGUUGGGGAUUCAGUGAUGAAGAAUGAUAUGACCGCUGCGGUGGUGGCCCGGAACCUUGUCACUCCCAAAGAUAACAGACUACUUUCCAGGCGGUCUGAUGAGUUGGCUGUUAAGGAGUCUCUGGCUCUUAGUGUGCAGUGUGUGGGUUCUGUGUCCAACAUGGCCCAACGCCUAUUUGCUCGAACCCGUCAAGUUGAAUCGUUGGCGGCUGAAGUGAUGAGUCUCAAACAGGAGAUUAGAGGGCUCAAGCAUGAGAAUAAACAGUUGCACAAGCUCGCACACAACUAUGCCACAAACAUGAAGAGGAAAAUUGACCAGAUGCAGGAAUCUGAUGGUCAGAUUUUACUUGAUCAUCAGAGGUUUGUGGGUUUGUUCCAGCAGCAUUUGCCUUCGUCUUCUGGGGCUGUACCGCGUAACGAAGCUCCAAAUGAUCAACCUUUGGCUCCUCUUCUUCCUGGAGUUCCGCCGAGUGGUGUGACUUCAAACAGUCAACCUCCGACGUCUCUUUUUCCUAGAGCUCCACCGAGUACUGAGACACCACUUGAGCAAUAAAGACUCCCUCCCGUUUGUUUGCACAUUUGUAAAUUUUUUUUUUUUUUUUUUGGUAUGUAGAAUGCAAUUUUAUGUAAAAUUUCGAGAAAAAAAAACAAAUAAAAUGGACUUUUAUUUCUCUUAAUGCUUUUUUUUUGUUUGCUGUAUAUAUUAUACACACACACAUUUAUAUAUACACAUACAUACAUACAUACAUAUAUAUAUAUAUAUAUUUUUUUUUCUUUCACGUGGAGUGAUCCACCAUCCCAAACCCAUUUUCCCUUUGUUUUUUUUUUUUGCAUGGUGCUAGCCAUCAAGAAUCCACCUUCCCUUUUUUUUUUUAUUAUUUUAUUUUAUUUUUUGGUCUGCUUUCACAUGGUGCUGAUCCACCAUUCCCCUUUUCUUUUCUUUUUUCACGUUGUGCCAGAUGCACCAUCCCCUCCUUUUUUUUUUUCUUAUAAUUAUUAUUAUAUUUUUUUUUCUGUAUAAAUUUGGGUGAUGGGUAGAGGAAUUUGCAGGGAGCGGAGCAAGGAGGCCGAGAAGAUGGUGCUUCGAGCUUCACGACCGGCUAGUCGUUUGACGGCAGUCGUUGAAGUUCUUUGCUAUCAUGGUGGUCAUAGUGACGAGCUCGAGGGAGGCUAGGCGCUGCGGUGGAAGAUGGGCAGAGAUGAGCGGUGCAGCUUUGGAAGUAGCAGGAGAUGACGGAGAAUGAGUCUCGCUCGAUGGCGUUUGAGAUUGGGCUGCCCCAUGCAUUCACAAGUACAUCCUUACCUCGAACCUUUGCGGGGACCAGCUUCUGCUUGGGAACGAUCCUGCAGUGAUGAAGGUGGACUUGGCGAGGCGGAGUGCUAAGACCGGGAGCUGGAUUCGACAGAUGAAGACUCGAAGUUGAUGCCGGUGUUGUGGCGACGGAAGCGUUGUGCAGCAACGUUGUGGGCCCUGGCGUCCGUUUGGCUGUGGGACCACGCUUUUGUACUUGGAGGAAGGGAGCUUCCGAGACUCGACCUCGAAGCUGCCGGUGCCGCCGCUGUUGCUGAGCUUUGAGUCCAGAAGUGCACUGCCCGUGCUGAUGUUGCCGAUGCGGUCGGGAAGGAGGAGUUGACAGCAGGCUGAUCACUAUGAACGGCUUAAGCGGCGGAGAUGGCGACUUGGUCUACUUCAACGGCAAGGAGGAGAUGCAUGAGGCUCAACUCUUGUAGUGCCGUGAGGUGGGAGACCUUCUUGUGGUUGUCAGGGUCUCUGACGGUGGUUCUGACGGCGUAGCCCUUCUGGAGUAGCAGCUUGACCAGCAGAGACACCACGAACCCGGUUCUGCCGAUGACGCAAGCCGUCUUCUUCGAGAUGGGUUGUUGGGUGGCCAUGGCUUCCUCUUCCUCUGUCAGAUUUUUAGUUGAAAAGGUGGGUGAUUUAUAACUCUUUGGAGAUUGGGAACCCUUGGCCGUGGCAGGAACUGAUAUGUUACUUUGUAGAUAUCUCUGGCUUGCUGAUACCGUGCUGUCUAAAGAAAUGCUUUCGUUGCUUGUUUGAGAUGCAAAAUUUGAGGCGUGAUCAUUUCCUGUAUCUAUCAUUCCUUUCGUCUUCUGCAUCGCUUCAAGUAUUUGCUUAAGAGCUUUGAGAUCAUUUCCUGAUUUUUUGAACUCAAGAUCUGCCAGCCUUUUUUUUCAUUUCAACAUAUACUGAAGAUGAUGAAUUUGGAGCUUUUAUAGGUUCUUCUUGUUGUUUGAAAUCUGAUCGUUGAGAACCCUUGCUUCUGUGUGGCUGCCUCCAUGGAGCUGCUUCUAUUGGAAACUUUAGAAUUGGAGAUGGGCUUCAUGACCAGAUCAGUGCCUCUCAUCUGCGGUGAGCUGUCUUUCUUUGUAUUUGCGAGGAGUAUCCCAGAAUAAGUAUCUUGCUUGUUUUCAUUGGUUGCUCUUGAUGAUCUGGAGAAGGGGAAGAGAGAGAGAGAGAGGGAGAUCGAGGAUGUUGAUGUCGGUUGGUUGGGUUGAGCUUGGUGUCGGCGCGGUGGAGCGAAUUGAGAUCAGGACCAAAGCGUCGUCGUCCAGGCUGAUCGAUUUGCGAUCACAUCGAAGCGCAAGCUUCGUGACCGAGUCGAAGUGGGCGAAGAGAGCAGGCAGGAAAGGAAGAAGCCCAGCCUGGGCGUUGAGAGAGGCGGUGCCGGCUCUGUCCGUCGACUCUCAGACACCGGUGGCAGACGAGCGAGCUCCGUUUCCGGUCGCCGGCGCAGAGGAAAUGGAAAAUACUCGCCAGACACUCGUCGGGAAGAUCAGACGUGUAGUCAGGGCCCUGAGUGACUUCCCCGUACAACUCGGAGUCUUCGUCGGUCGAGGAUGAAGCAAUCGCCACCGUUUUGAAGCUGAACCGUCGGCUCGUUGAAAUUUCUCUGGAGCUGUGCUCCGCCGGAGCCUCAGGAAGCCAAGAGGACUGUCCCAUAGUGCUGCUGCAAGUGAAUUGAACGCGCCGCCAGAAGAGAGACAGAGGGAGAGAGAGGUGGUGGUUGGUAUUUUCAACGUUAUCUUAAAAUGCGUGUGUGGGAUCUGUGAGCGACGGCGGAUCUUAGACUGAUCAUCGAGAGCGCGGUAAAUUUACCGGAGGAGGAGACGGCGCUUGAGUCGGUGACUGGAAUGGAGAAGGGUCUGGUUGGAGGAGAAAACCCGAAGUGGGUUUUGAGAGCUGGGCUUAUUGGGAUUUAGAAAGAUGGGCCGCCCUCUUUUUUUUUUUUUUUUUUUCACAAAGAAAAUGUUUGUAUUUGUAAUAAAAAUAUACUCUCAAUAGUCAAAUAUUCAAUAAAAUCUUAUUUAUUUAUUUAUUUAUUUUGAUGUGACUGAACUCGAAAUUGAAUGCUCGAGCUGCCUACGUACCCUUCCAACGAAAAGAUCAAGUCAAAACGUAGUUCAAAUACAUACAUAUUUUUUUUUGGUAUUUUCUCUUUUUUUUUUCUUUUUUUUUUUUGUGCCAUUUGCAGUUUCAGCUCAUGCAAGCAAGGAGCGUUGGUGUUGCCUUUUAUGCUCGUGCAGACCAGGAGCGUUGUGCCAUGCAGUUUAGGCUCGUGCAGGCGAGGAGCUUUGGUUCGUGCAGUUUAGGCUCGUGCGAACAAGGAGCAUUGGUGAAUUUGUCAAGCAAUUUUGGAGAGGCGUUCCUCACAAUCUUCAUAGCAAGGAGCCUUGACCGAGUGAUUGAAGAAGUCUUCGGGCAAGAAAUCACGCAUCGUGAUGGGGACGGACGAUCUAUAUGUCGAAAUUUCAUCAUCUUCAACACGUUCAUGUUGCUUUGAAGGUUGACAAGAGCUGCUUUGCCCCCUUUCCGAUUGGCGGACUUGUGGAGGAGACGUAUGCUUCUUGUGCAAUUUCUUAGGAGUGACUUGAGUCCAUCAUUCAACUUUGCUUGUCUUGGAGGAUGCCCUCAGCGGUUGAGGUGAAAACUUUGAGUCGGAAGAGCCAGAAGUGAAGGUGGUAUAGUUUGACUUCACCACAUCGUCAAGAUCUAGCUCGAUGAUUCCUUUCUGAGCCAGCUUCAUGAUGAGAUCUUUCAGCACGAAACAUUUUUCUGUCGGAUGACUGAUGAAGCGGUGGAAUUUACAGUACCUUGGACUGUCAGUGCGAUUCAUCUCUUCUGGCCGUUUGCACUCAGGCAAACCAAUCACCUUCUUUUCCAGCAAGUCUUCUAACAUGGCAACCACAUCAGAGUCGGGGAAUGGAUAAGUCCUCUCCUCAAGCUCCUUCAAAGUGCGUCUACGCAUCUCUUGAUCACGAAAAGCUUCAGUUUGAAUCGCCUUGCCUCGUGUGGAGAUUUUGAUGGGAGCUGUGACCGUCAUCGCUUCCUUGGUGGGUUUCCAUGCAGCCUUUUCCACCUUUGUCCAAAGAACUUUGUCGUUCUUGUAAUCGGCGAUCGGUUCUUUCUUCCCAUGAUGGGCGAUGCUCAACUCCAUGUCGUGGGGGCGAGUGGCCAAUUCCUCGAAGGUCCGUGGUUUAAUGCCUUGAAGGAUGUAUUGCAAACCCCAUUGCAUGCCUUGGAUGCACAUCUCGAUUGAAGAGGUUUCUGAGAGCCUGUCUUUAUAGUCGAGGCUUAGAGUGCGCCAUCUGUUGAUGUAGUCAAUGACUGGCUCGUCCUUCCACUGUUUUAUGCUCGUUAGCUCUAGCAUGCUCACAGUGCGGUGGGUGCUAUAGAAGCGGUUGAGGAAUUCCCGCUCUAAUUGAUCCCAGCUGUUGAUGGACUUAGGCUCUAGGUCCGUGUACCACUCAAAGGCGUUUCCUUUCAGCGAGCGCACAAACUGCUUGGCAAGGUAGUCCCCUUCGGUCCCUGCGUUGUUGCAAGUUUCAACAAAAUGGGCAACGUGCUGUUUCGGGUUUCCUUUUCCAUCAAACUGCAUGAACUUUGGUGGUUGAUAACCCUUUGGCAUCUUCAGGGCAUCAAUCUUCUUGGAGUAGGGCUUCGAGUAGAACAAUGAGGUAUGUGAGCUCCCUUCGUACUGUGCCUUGAUGGUGUUGGUGAUCAUUUCUUACAGUUGCUGGAUAGAAAGAGGUCCCAUAAGUGCCGCUGCUUGGUCUGGCUCCGGCUUCGCAUCGUUUUUCUCCACCUGAGGCUCAUCUUCUUCGUCAUCUCUUCUCUUUAGUGGAUCAUUCUCUAGGUCGGGUUUAUCGAUGUCCUGUGGCUCCAGUCGGCUAACGAGUGCAGCAAUUUGCAAGUCUUUUUCUUCCACAAUCUGUGUUAGCCUUGCAAUCGCUUCAUUCAUUUGAGCCAGUUGUUCUUCAACGGAGGUAACACCAAUAGUCAUAACUUGUGCGACCAAUAGACGUGACUUUCCUUUAGACAUUCAGGAUGCUAAUGAAGAACGUCGUUGGCUGCUUUGGGAUGUCAUCUUGUGUGCCUCAACAUCAUGCUUCGGUGCCCCCAGCGAGGUCAGGUUGAUGACAGACUCACACCUUGGAUGCUCCCCUUGCUCUUUUAGCGGCACCAAUUUUGAAGUGGCAUGUUGAGGAACAGUUGUGGCGCCAAUGAAUUGUCCGUUUGGGGCAGAAGUGCUUAGGAUCCUUCCCUCAGUGGUUGCAAGAACGGCUUGUCCCUUGCUUGAUGCCAUUGACUUUGAGGUGUGCUUGGAUUCCUUGAACGGAAAAAGAGAUGAGAGGUAGAGAUUGUCCCACUGGGCGUGCCAAUUUGUGAACACGGAAAAUUCCUGAAACGAAAGAGACAACAACGACGUGCACAAAUAAAAUAUUUGUAUUUUGAUGAUUUUGGGUUACAAUCUCUCUCUAUUUUGAUCAUCUGAUUCGAUCUCCGUAAGGUGUUGAUUGGUGGAUGUUUUGUUGAUCCAAGGGCCGUUGAUGCUUGAUCUUGGAUGAACUGUUGGAAGUUUCUUCAAAGGGCCGUGGGCUUGAUCUUUAAGGUGGAUUUGAGCGGAUCUUCAAGGAGCCGUUGGGACUUGAUCUUGAAGAACAGUGAUGAACGGAUCUUCAAGGGGUUUUGGGCUUGAUCUUGAAGAACAGUGAUGAACGGAUCUUCAAGGGCCGUUGGGGCUUGAUCUUGAAUUGGUGGAAGUUCUUCAAGGGCCGUUGGGGCUUGAUCUUGAAUUGGUGGAUGAUUGUUGAUCCAAAGGGCCGUUGGGGCUUGAUCUUAGGAUGAACGAUGAACAAUGAACGAAGAACGCUUUCUUGAUUCUUCGGGAACCUGGAUGCUUGAGAGCUUCGGAGUUUCAGAGCUUCAGGGCUUCAAGGUGUAAUCUCAAUUGGUCCCCCCCUUUGGAAUGAAAUAGCCUUCUAUUUAUAGAAAUUUCCAAGGCCUAAUUUUGAAUAUAAUAUUCCAGAUGAAAUAAGUCGUUUCUGCCAGGUGUUGACACGUGUCCUAUUUGAUGACUUUUCCAACUCAUUUCAAUUUUCGUUGAGUCACACGCUACGUGUAAAAUUUAUGUAAUACAUGAGCGUUGACACUUUGAUUUAUCGGUCAACAUUUAUUUACCAAAAUUUCGAUGUCUACAGUAUAUACCGAAAUAUAGUAUAUUAAAUUAAUGUACCUAAAAGUCAAUACUCAAAUGUGUGUACCAAAAUGUACGUACUGAAAUGCAUUAUAUUGAAUUAAUGUACCUAUAUGUUUGUAUCGAUGAAUAUACCGAAAUAUUCAAAUGCAUUAAUGUAUCUAAAUGAAGAACAUACAAAAUUGUUAUUAGAAUAUAUAUUAUAAAAAAAUUAGUUACCUAAAUGUAGACAUUAAAAUAUAUUACGAUGAAUGAAAUAAAAAUUAAAUUUAAAUGUAAUUAAUACAUCAAAAUAUAAAUAUAAAUAUAAAUAAAACAUCAAAAUAUAACUAAUAAAUGAGAUUAUUAAAUGUACUAGGGAUUAGAGCAUCUUCAAAGGAGAUGUCAAAAUUGCCACGUAGACAUACAACAGUAAAAAAUGGUAGCAAAGUCUCUCUAACCGAGCCUUCAAUUUCUUACGUGGAGCUGAAUCAUUUGAAGGCAAAGUAUUUUGCUGUCAAAUUUGACAGCAGAUGUCAAAUUCAUUAAAUGAUUUUUUUAAUAGAUUAAUAUAAUAUAUAAUAAAUGUUGUUAUGUUUUGGAAAUAUUUGAUUGGUUGCCUUAAUCAUUGGACUCCACAAAAAGAUAAAACAUUUAAUAAAUGUCAUUAUUAUUUAACAUAUCGGGUGAAGCAAAAUAUUGUACAAAAUAUCAAAUUGCCACACAAGCUAUCAAUUAUCAUUUGAUGUUUAAAAUUUGACAUCUCAUUUAGAGAUGCUCUUACAAAGCAGAUCACAUCCAAAAACAUUGAAAGAAGGAAAUCAUUUAAGUAAAUAAGCAAAUGUGCAUCCACAACCCAAUUAAAAAAAAAUGACGGAAACCACUUGCAUAGAAAGGAAUCCUAUGAGAAGAGAAUUAAACUUCUCCCUUGGCUUAAUGUCAGAUUCCGAUGAAUUAAUCGAAAUUUGUUGUUUCUCCAGCGGAUUUUGCUUCUUUUCUUGCCCUUGUUCUGCCCUGCAUGGUCAUUUUGAGGGAAAAUCGAGGUGGUAAAUGUGUUAGGGUUAUUGAUGCUUAGAUUUUGAUAUAAGAUUUGUCGAAAACGAUAACCAAAUGAAAAAGAUGUGAAGAUUUGAAGUUAGGGGAGCCAAAUGGAGAAGAAAAAAAUAAUCAAGAAUAGCAGCAGAGCUGCUAGUUUUACACGCAGUUCAAAUUUACCAAAAUCCCCUUUUAUUUAGAAAAUUCGUAACUUUCUCGUUCGAAUUUCAAACUCCAAUAUGUUUGCGUUUAUGCGUUCAUAGUAACACAUACUAUCUAGUGAAUAUAACAGAAAAUUAACCCUUAAUUUCAAAAAUGUUAUUUUUUGUAAAAACUUUCAAAUAUAUCCAAAAUUUCACUUAAAUAGACACACAUACCCUUAAAUUUAUCAAUCAAAUAAAUUAAAGGCUUUUUAGCCAUCAUCGCCUCAAGCACCGGUCCAACGUCACCUUGACUCCUACACUCCACCACCAUAACCUUAUCCCCUUCGACCUCCUCAUCAAUGACAAUGAGCAUUGCCGCAAUUAUCGCCAAUCAUGCCUUCAACGCCUUUUUUCUUCCCAGGACUCGAGUCUUAGCCCCCGUCGCUAAUUCAUUGACACACAAACUCUUUCCGUAUCUAUGACAAUCUCGUCUUUAAUUUUACGUUUUUAGUCAUUUUGAAUGUGUGAAUUGACGAAAAUGCCCUUAGAGGCGAGGGUGUUGACUUUUGUUGACCAGCAUAUUAUAAGAUGUAUGAAACAUUCUUUUAGCAUAUGAUCGUUGUCACAUCCCGCCCUGGGCCCCUACCACAUCCUGGGCUUGACUCCGCCGUACCACAACAUUGUUCGCUUUAGGCCCCGACCAUGCCCUCACGAUUUUGUUUCUGGGAACUCACACGAGAACUUCCUAAUAGGUCGCCCAUCCUGGGAUUGCUCUCGCGCGAACUCACUUAACUUUGGAGUCCCAAAAGGCCUCGUGCUAGGUAGAGAUGGGAAUAUACAUAUAAGGCUUACAAGAUCCACUCCCUGGGCGAUGUGGGAUGUUACAAUCCACUCCCCUUAGAGGCCCGACGUCCUCGUCGGCACACUUCCGGCCAGGGAUUGGCUCUGAUAUCGAAUUGUCACAUCCCGGGCUCGAAUCCGCCGUAGCACAAUAUUGUCCACUUUAGGCCCCGACCAUGCCCUCACGGUUUUGGUUCUGGGAACUCACACGAGAACUUCCUAGUAGGUCACCCAUCAUGGGAUUGCUCUCGCGUGAACUGGCUUAACUUCAGAGUUUCGAUGGAACCCGAAGCCAGUGAGCUCCCAAAAAGCCUCGUAUUAGGUAAAGAUGGGAAUAUACAUAUAAGGCUUAUAGGAUCCACUCCUCUGGGCGAUAUAGGAUGUUACAAUCAUAGUGCUCGUCACUAUGAACGCGAAGGCACAAGCAGAAUCGAAAUUUGAGUUACGAUGAAGAUUUUACAGAACUACUAAUAUGAAAAUACUUUUAAAAAAUUAUUAUUUUAUAUUUUAUAUCUUUAUUCAAAAUUUUAUAUUAUUAUAUCUUUAUUUUAAUUAUUUUUUAAAAGAUAUUUUAUUAAUUUAUUUUGUGGCCGUGGGGCCCACACCUCAACUUAUCCUCUCCCUCUUUUCCACAUGGGUCUCUCUCCCCCACAAUUAUGGGCUCUCUCUCUCCCUCGAAUCUCUCACACUCUAACUUUCUCAAAGUCUCUCAGUCGUAUCUCUCUUUCUCUGCAAAUUGAUCACCCAUCACCAUUGCACAUCGCCACUUCAGCGAGAUGGUCACCACGUAUCACCCCAACCACCGUGUCUCUUCCUCUCUCUCUUGUCACUUUCCUUUACCUCAACCUCUGUCUCCCUCACCUUCUCUGCGCUCGUGGUGUUAAGACACCGAGACCAUCACCAUUCCCAACGAAUCCCCGCCGUUCAUGACCUACGUAAGCUUUGGGGUUCCUUCUUUCUUUUCCUUUUUGAUGUUUAGGUCAAUUUCUAUGUCGGCAUGCUCGUUUUGGUGAGUUCGGAAUGCAGAAGCAACGAGGACAAAUUUUCCCCAGAUUUCGGUGAAAAUCCGACAGCUUUAGAGCUUUUUUCUGGCCAACUUCGACCACAACCAAGGAACCCAAUGGUAUAUUUCGAUUCCUUAUUCCUUGAGCUUCAAUUUGAUAUAUUGGGUUGCUAGUUUUAGUUGAGAUUUGAAGCUAAACAGAACCGGAGAAGUUCCCAACCAAAAUUCCUGUGUUCUUAUUCUUUGGGUUCGGCGGGUGCAACUCGUGUGCCCACCGGGUCGACCGAACCCAAUUUAAAAAAAAGGGCCUAAGCCCAAACCCGGCCCCAAUUAGACAACUGUUCCAGCUCGGCCGAGUUCUAAAAUGAGCUCAGAAUAUUCUAAGGAUAUUCUUUGUGUUGACUUUUGGGGAAAUUUAUCAAAAACCUCAUAGGCUAAUUUCAACGCCCUGAGUCCAUUUAGUGAAAUUCUAAAGUUGUAACGUAGUUGACCACUGUGGCGUCUUGGUUGACUUUUUAGAGUUGACCAUUAAGUUUUUCGUUGACUUUUUUCUAAAAUUUGUCAAGGACUCUCCUUAGCGUAUUUCGACGUCUUAAUUCCAAAUAAGCACUCCGUUUUCCAAAUUUAAUUGUCUAAGUGGAUUUAAGUAAUGGGUCCCAAUAUUAUGUUUAGGUGCAAUUACUAUCGAAGCCUCCAACUUCCUAACUUGAACGGAUGUGACAUCGCAAGUAACUAUGAGUGAGUCUUUUCUUUUAUAUAAUAUAUAUAUAUAUAUAUACUUGUUAGUAUCCAUUUAUACGUUUCAUAAAGAGUUUCUACAAUACGCCUAGAGUGACGUUUAUAAGUUUUAGCGCAUUGAUAGAAAUUAUGAAAUUAGGCUACAUCCUACAGGAUGUACGGGUAUGCGUAUUAUUAUUGAUGCCUAAAUUAUAUUUAUGGUCAUGAAUAGUAUUACGAUGACAUGAAUUAUCGAUUUACUGCUGUAUGAUUUUAUUUACGUUAUCUGCUCAUUGUUACUGCACUUGUGUUAGUACUCGCCCGGGCCAGAACCAGUCUUUCACGUGUAUGUGCACAUCGCACCGUAUGCUCACCUUGGAUCUAUCGUAGGUGCCAGUCCUGUCCUAGAUUGCUAUAAUCAAUUAGGACUCGUAUGUGCUACGCAUAGCGCCAAUCUUCACGUCCUGUUCAUGUCAAAAUACCUUUGCAUGAACUCGUGUGUUAGCAUAUGUCGAUGAGCACUCAAUAUGAUAUGUUUAUUUAUGCAAAAAUAUGUGAUUACGGACAUCAUGUGUUUACUUACAAAAUAUUGUGCCGUAUUGAAUUCUUGAGAUAUUGCAGCCUACGAUAAGUAUUUUCUUACUAUACGUAGUAUGUAUAUUUUGGAAACUAUACUUGUUUUACGAUGAGGGGUUAUUAUGUUUUCGAAAGGUUUUUACAAAGCUUUAUUUUUAGGACCACUCACCCUUGUUUUUCGCCCCUCUAGGUUUUAAUAGCUGAGCUUUUGUGUCGACGAGGAUUCUUGGCAAAUCUUGGUAUAGGUGGUUACCUUCGAUGGUAUAAUUCUCAUCCUACAUUACUGUACUUUACUUAUGCUCUGACAUCACGUGUGAAAUGAGUUCAUUUCCGCUCACAUGUGCACUCUUAUAUUUAGGCAAUUUUAGGUUUAAAUUUAUUAACAUAUUUCACCUCACUAUACUUUAUGGCUUCAUCACCCUUCUGGUGUCGGUUAGCACAACUCUAUUCGGAGUCCAGGUGGACAUUUUGGGUUGGGGUGUGUCAGUAUCACAUCAAUUCUCUAUAAUCAUCAAACCCAAAUGGAAAAGGAAGAUUUUAAGAGAGAACCACUCAGGGUGCGGAAAUUUGGAUUGGAAGGUGAAGGGUUUGGAUUGUGAGAGAAUAAAGGUAUAGGUAGGUUAGGGUUUAGGGUUUUUGGUUUGGGCAUGUCUAUUGGAUUUACCCACCAAAUGAAGAAGAUGACUUCUUCUUUUAAUUUUUUUUCGUACUAAUAUCAUUUUUAGUUUUAAAUAUAAAUAUAGUUUUUAAAGUUAAUUCACAUGUUGUUAUAUGAUUGUAUUUGUGAGACCCAAGUGGCGCCACAUCAUUGCACUAACAAAGCAAUUUGACAGAUUUUUCACAGAAAGACUCGGGGGAAAGACUAAAAUGAUUCACAACAGACAAAUUCAAGGACACUACUUUUGAUUUUCAUUGUUAAGGACCAAACUAAUGAGUCAUGUCAAUGUCACAAACCAUUUUGGUUAAAAAGUCUAUAAUUUAUUUGAUUGUUAAAUUUGAGGGUAUUUGCGCCUAUUUAAGUGAAAUUUUCAAUAUAUUUGAAAGUUUUCAUAAAAAGUGACAUUUUUUAAAUUAAAGGUUAAUUUUUUGUUAUAUUGCAUAAAUACUCGAUUAGGAUUGUGCCGUGGGCUGGGAGGUCGACGCCGCGGCGGCGGAAGGAACCCAGACCUAGAUUAUAGGUAAAACCGUAAAAGGUAUUAGACAUAUUUAUAGGCUGGUAUUUGUUCAAUUAAUCUAUGGGCUAGUAUUUGUUUAGUAAAUCUAUGGGCUGGUAUCUGUUUAAAUAAUAUAUGGGCUGGUGUUUGUUUAAUUAAAACAUGGGCUGGUGUUUCAAUAUGACUUGGAUUUAAGGUAAAAUUAUUAGAAAAUUUUCUAUCAAAAUAUGGGAAGUGUUAUUGGCACUCUAAAAUCUCAUUCUACACUUCUCAUAAAUAUAUUUUUUCUUCCUAAUAUAGAAAAUUUGAAGUAUAAAAUGAAAUUUUUGGAGUGUUAAUAACAAUUUCCUAAAAUAUUUGAUGGUCAUUACUUUUACCUAAUGUGAAGACGCAGAAGAUAAACAUUGAAUAAAAAAAGGGGAAGAUAAGAUUCUUAAAAAAAAAAGUUGGAUAAAUUAUCAUCCAAGCUUAUGAUAUUUUUAGUCAUUUCCAUAUGGGCUUGUUUGACGGGGUGAAAUAGAUUCGUACUUAGAGAUAAGAUUAGAAUAGCAGGAAUUUGAAAGAUAAAAAUUUAUAACUCAUGUAUAAAGAUAGGUUAGAUAACGCACUGAAUUCAUAACUCAUUAUAUCGUGUCCAUCUUACAUUUUGACACAGCAAACAAUGAACUGUGCUAAUUUUCUUUUUACUUAUUUGUUAUUAAAUUUUAUAGAACCCACAUGUGUGUCACAUUAACAUAUUAACAAAAGUUUUGACGAAAAUAUUACAGUAUAAUUGAUUUGCAGCACUCAAUUCAAAAGCAACAUUGAUCGAAUUUUACUUUCAAAACCACCUUAAUUAGUGCGUCAAUUUCUGUACUAUUUGUGUUAAACGACACUUUUUAAAGAAAUCUACUACUUUGAACGUGUGGUAUGUUGAUUUGAACGAACGGUAAGACCAAAACAUGUAGCCAGAAAAUUCGGUGUCUCGCCUUCCCAACUCAUUCGACCUAUAUAUGUGUGCGGAAACAAACAGAGUCGAAAACAAACAACGCACGCAACAUUCUCAGUUUCUCAUCAAACUACAUUAUUUUACAUUCUCUCUGUAAACCGUUGGAAUUUCGGUAGUUCUUUUCAUUACCCAAGAACAGAUUAGGAAAUUGAAUUAAGUUUUGAGUGUUUCCGUAAUUAUGUCUCUGGCUUCAGUCGGAAUGGGUGCUCUGGGAACGUCAUUUCAAAUGCUGUUUGAUGCUGUAAAAUCAGUGCAGGAGGAGAAUACAAUGUUCCAACACCUCCUCGGAGACAUCAAAUCCACACUGAACUCUCUACAACCACUCAUCAAAGACAUCGAAAAGUAUAACUCCAAGGAGGGACUGGAAAAUUAUGCAAUACAGAUGGAGGAAGGAGCAAAGCUUGUUCAGAAGUGCAGCAAAGUAGGCGUGUGGAGAAAACACACAUACACCAAGAAGCUUAGUCAACUGGACAAAUCUCUCCGAAGAGUGUUUGAUGUGCUUAAACGGCAGGGUAUGAGGGAUGCGAGGGAGACGUUAGUUUCUUUGAGGAGUAUCCAGACGGUGCUCUCUCGAAUAGAAGAGAGUUUGAAGAUGAAAAAUAAUCAGCCUGAAAUGGUUAAAUGUUCGUCUGCGGUGCCUGAAGCGCCAUCAGUUACAGUCGGGUUAGAUUUACCGUUGAAGGAGUUGAAGAUGAAGCUCCUUAAGGAUGAACAGGUGUCUAUGCUUGUGCUGACUGCUGCUGGAGGAUGCGGGAAAACCACCUUGGCUAAAAUGUUUUGUCAAGAUCAAGAAGUCAAAGGUAUGCUAAUUAAAAAGUAAUACACCGUGUAGAGGAUUAUGCAAGUAGAACUACGCGCUAGGGCCUAUAAAAUGUCCGCUAUACUCCCUCCAAACAUACACAGUAACCAAAAUUUGUUAAAAGAAAAACAACGAAGGGGACAUGAAACUAAAGCGCACGAAAGGAAUAUAAGAAAGAUUAGAAAGACCUAAAUGGGCAUGCCCAACAUAUAACAAGUGGUAGUGAUAUGAACUUGACAUGAUUUUCUUUGUACUAAAUGUAAGUUAAGCUGAUGCCUUCCUCUUAGAGUUAACAAGUCUUGCACUGAGCUACCGCUUGAUUACUUACUUGAUCUCAGAAUUGCAGACAUAUCUUGUCAACCUUAUAUUAACACCUUUCCUACAUUCUGUUUGGUUAGAUACAUUCAAGAACAACAUCUUCUUUGUCAAUGUCUCGAAAAAGCCCAACUUGGACCUUAUUGUACAUGAACUAUAUCAACGGAAGGGGUUCGAGCUGCCUGCUUUCGAAAACGAAGUCAUGGCAGCUAACUGGUUGCAACAAUUUCUGAAGGAAUCAAGACAAAAUCCUCUACUGUUUGUCCUGGAUGAUGUUUGGUCAGGAUCAGAGUCCCUUCUUGAGAAGUUUGAUCAAUUCAAG
rnacentral:lncRNA from 1 species